UCCGCCACCACCACCUCCUAUUCACAAAUCUCCAUCUCCACCUAAGAGUCCGUACAAGUCUCCACCACCAAAACCUUAUUUAUACAAGUCUCCUCCACCACCACCCCCUGUUCAUAAGUCUCCAGCUCCACCCAAGAGUCCACACAACUCUCCGCCACCGAAACCUUAUUUACACAAGUCUCCUCCACCACCACCUCCUGUUCACAAAUCCCCACCUUCACCUAAGAGUCCAUACAAGCACAAUUCUCCACCACCACCUUCACCUAACAGACCCUACAAAAACAAGUCUCCUCCAUCACCACCACAUAAUAUACCCUACAAGUGCAUUUCACCCCCACCACCAGUGUACAAAUCACCACCAUCACCGCCUCCCAUCUACGAGUCUCCACCACCACCACCACCGAAGAGUACCUAUGUUUACAAGUCCCCACCACCACCACCACCAAUGAAACCCUACAAGUACACCUCCCCACCACCACCAAAGAGUCCCUACACGUACACUUCUCCCCCUCCUCCUCAUCACUACUGAUCGAUAUCCCAUUAAGGUGUUAUAAAAGGUGAACCGACUAGACAAAAAUCCCACAUUACAUUUCUCUUAAACUUCUUUCAUUGCCGAGGACAAAUCAGAAUGGGUUUUCUUCUUCAUUAGGCUAUAUUUUGCCAAUUAAGCUUUACACCAAGAAAAAAAAAAGGCAUUAACUAUUAACAUCUAGUUAUUUUUCUUGCUACAGUAUGUCUCAUGCAUGCAUUGAGAAUACUUCCUGUAUCUUUGCAGGUAAGGAUUUGUUGAAAAAUAAAACAAGUAUGGGCUAACUGCAAUGUCCACGCAAAGAUAAUGAAAGCAACAAAACAUGAGAAACGACAAUGAACACAAAGGGACAUGUUAAAUUCUCACUAUAGAUCUUCAUGUUUUGAGAUAACAGAAGUUUGUGACUGCGUGAAAGAGGCCCAUGUUAGUAUGUGGCUAAUUAGUACGUGUAACAGAGCAAUCUUAGUAGGUGUUAAAGUUUUUAUGUUGUGUGUCUUAUGGUUCUUGAUCUCUUGCAAAUGCUGGGAUUAUCGAUUGGCACCUAAUGAAAUAUCAAAAAGUCUCUCUAAAUCAUGUUCCUCGUUGCUACAGUGAUUAUUUUGGCAACGAUUUGCUUGAUCUGCAUGCUCUUGCCGCUGCAUGCAUGAACGUCGACGACAAAAGCUACGCUUAUAUAAUCACAAUAAUUGGGAAAUACAUUAAUACCUUACCACCUAUUUGUACAUACAUCAAAUUUUACGUCACUUUGGACAACGUAAUUAGAAAUCAUGAAAAGUUCAACCAACUUGUUCAUUGUUCUUAUGCUGCGUUUGUAUGGUAACGUUGGAGAUGAAAUGAAACAAGGACGAUAUUGUUACCAUGAAAAUAGAAUUUGCGCUUCACUUGGAAAAAAAAAUGCAUAUAUUUCUGCCGCAUAAAAGGGUUGUGAACUCUCCAACCUGUAAUGGUAGCCUAAUAAUAUCAUUAAGUCCCCUCCCCCCCCCUCCCAAAACAAAAAAAUAAAAAGAGAAAAGAAAAGAAUACCAUUAAUUUCUUGAUAAGUUUCAAUUACUUUUUCCUUUCAAUGAUGGCUGAGUAAUUCAAGAACUCUAAUGAUCCAUGACUACAAUGUUAGAAAGAAUAAAUGGCCACUUACAAUCUGAAAAUCUUACAGAUUGCUGGUUUGCACCUCGAACAUCUACAUUAUAAUCAAUUUGCAGUAGAACUUUUUUUUCCUACGUAAUUAAUGUGCAGCCAGCAUCAAUUAACAAUGCCAUCAUCACACCAGCAACCAAAAACAAGUCAUACACGUUAUUUACAAGUUCUUCUUGGACAAAUUUUAUUCAAUUUUCUUAAUCAACUGAUAGCUAAUUCCAAUUGGUGACUUGAUCUAUAUACCUAGCUCUAUAUCGUUCACAAAAUUUGACUACAGUUGACAUUAUUGGAAAGUUCAUGUAUGUAAAUUGGCAACCAAAUCGAAGUUGCAAAUCAAAGUAUGGAGAGAAAUUAAGCUGGUUGCAGAUUUCGAGGAUGUAAAUAAUGGUGUUCACCCUAUAAAAUUUUGAAUGACACCUCUCUAUGUUUAGGUACGUUUCUGAAAAUUGUGACUCGUACACUCCAUUAUUGAAUGGAUCCUUUUGAUUAGAAAUUAUAAACAUAUAAGAUUUCACCAAACAAUGUAACGGUAGAAUGCAUUUACCAGCUAUAACCUAUCUAUUAUUCUCCGUGGUCCCUGCCAUUAUUUUCAGCAAUAACUAAAAGAAAUGCUUUCUUUUCUUCCAAAUUUUUUAAGCCCAUUAACGUCAAAGGACUAACUUGUAGUAGCUACCAGUAGAGGCCACUGACCACAGUGUACAACAAUGCACUUACAGGCCCAAAAGAUCUAGGAUUGCUUCUACGUAUGAUGAAACAGCCUUGAAGGAAAUUGUUUUCCUUUCACUGCUGAUAAAAAUUGAAGAAAUAAAUAUCACUUUGUACUUCUAAUAUUUCUAUCAGUUUUACUCCGUAGUUCUAAAUUUUAUGUUCAAUUCUUGCGACAAAUAUCAUAAAUCAUAGGAAAAUUGUUUUGAAUGUUCUUGAAGGUGGUUAGAAGCCAUGCGCGUAGACUCUUUCUUUUUUUAUCUUGGUUUCUCUUUAUCACGAAUACUAAUAUCAUCAUUUUUCACUGAUAAGAAUGAGGAACAUGGUGGUGCCCAUAAGCAUAUCUUUCGUCUGCUUCUCUAACAAUGUUUCUAGUUUGCGAUGAAUUAGUAAAUGUACGAUUAAUUGGUACAUUUGGAAUAUAAAGCAUUUAAAUGAAUGUUUUACUUGAAAGUACGAAUAUGCCCUAUUUGAUAAUUUAAUUCAGUUAAAUUUUAAUUAAUUAGGUGGUACUAAAUUUUCAUAAUAAUUAGCCAAUAUAUUGGUUAUGCAAAAUGAAUUAGUCAUAAUUAAAGGUAUGUCAGUGCUGAAAAAUUAUUCUAUUUCUUUUGUAAAGGUAAAAGUAAUUACAAAAAUUCUUCUCACCAGUCAAUAUAUAACAUUAAUAUCGUGGUGUGCUCAUACAACUUUUGACAACUUUUGAGAGGCAUUAGAUUUCAAUAUGCUCCCAAUAUCAAAAAGUGGGGUUGAUUUUUUUUUUUUUUUUUUGCUCAUUUUGAUUAGGAUUUUAUGCAUUGAAUCAAGCAAUGAUCCACUUACACUUAAAAGAGGCAAAAACUGUCUAAUAAACGGAAUAAACAACUAAAGUGAACACUGCAAGGAACACUUAGUAGGGUUGCUUUUAGAACUUCACCAAAAUUUUGGUGCUUGUACAUUUCAAAAGAAAAGAAAAAAGAAGAAGAAAUUAAAAUCGUUCAACCUUUAGCAUUAAAGAUGUAAGUGACCAGAUCAUGACUUUAGAAUGAUCCAUCUGAACAUGCAAGCAGUCGUCCAUGACUAAAAUCAGUUGAUCUUUCAAAGCCUCAUUUUCAUGUCAUUCCCAAAAUCAACUAAAGCUAGCACCAGUAUGACUUAAUUGAUAAACUGGGAUCCACUACAGAUAUCAAAGUCUGGAAUCAUUAUUAAAAAGUGGGCCAAAAAAGAAAUUUUUUCUAGCAUUAGAUUGUUCGAAAGUUAAUACUAGCACGCCAAUGUCUAUUCGUCUAUUUGGAUGACUCAACAAAGUCUCUGUGAAAACCGGUCCAAUAUGAAUAUUCUGUGCCUAAUUCGAUAAAAGAGAGGUUCCUCUUCAUAUUAUUUUGAAGGAAAAAAUGACUUUUGAUGCUCAAGAGUUUUCAAAUUUUGCCACUACAUCAAGUUGACUAGUACCUACCCAAGUAGUUGUCGGAAUGUGAUUUUUGUUAAAAAGCUUAAGAAAAGGAUUACUACAUUAUCCCUCCAAAAUUCAACCCUAAUUUAUUUAUUAAUCAUAUUUUUCUUUUCCUAGUUUCAAACCUAAUUAUAGACCAAUCUUAUGUUAUUUUGUUUAAAUCUUUCUAGAUUAAUUUUUUUAGAUGUUAGUGAAAUCGUGUUUUGGUGAGCAAAAUGUCACUAAUUAUGAGUGUAUUUGCAUUAAAGUGCAUGGUAAUUAAGCAAAAUGGGCACUAAGCCAAUACAUUAUACAACUGAAAUAUAAAGAAAAAAUUGUACAACUGAAGUAGUAGCAUUUUUCUCACAAAGUACCAUUACUGUUUUCUAGUGUAGCAUUUUCUCAGAAAACUCCCUUAGAGUUUAGAAUAAGCAAGUGCCUCUAAUUUAGUAUGUCCUUGUAGUACUGGAUGCAUUGCAUGGGAACGUCCUACUUCCCAUGACUUAUAAAAAUCAUAUAUACGUGAAUUUUCCAUCUCUUUUGCCGUCCCUCUUUCUUACACGUAAAACCAAAAUCACCUAACAACAUAUUUUAUAUAACCUGGCCUCCACUUCUCAUGUCAACUAAUAGGAAUCACAAUGAAGAUAAAAAUUAAACUUCACCCCAUAUUAUUGGAUCACACCAACACUACUGUUAAUUUUUAAUUGCUUUUCCUUUUUUCCCACCAUAUUAAAAUAUACUGUCCCACUUGAGGCUAAAACAUUCCACAACAAUGUCGAAAAUUUUCUGAUUAAUUUAAUUGUGAUGCACAUUUUAAUAUUGGUUAGACGGCUUCUGAUCAGAAGUCUAUAUUCUGGAUUAAGGCAAUCUUGAGGUAGAUGUAGUGGCAAUGUUCUUUGUUGAUUAAAUACUUUAGAAAGUCUGCACUGUAAAUAAAUGAAAAGUCAACUUAUACUUUAGAACCAUUUCCAAUCUAACUAAUUGUAAACAGCUCUGAGUUGUUUCUCUUUAAAAAUUUUGUGAAUUACUUGUAUACAUCAAUGAUUGAUUUGUUGUCUACUCCCACAACCAAAAAAAAAGAAAAAGAAAAAGAAAAAGAAAAGAUACAAAAUGUGUAGCAAAAGUCAAUAGUCAAAGUUGUAGUGUUAUAUACGAGUCCAAAAAUCAAAAGGAUUAAACUGAUAAAUAUAUCAGAGCCAAACAAUAUUGGACCAUAUGGAAGGCAUUGUUACUGUUGCACUCUUGUCCUGGUCCUCGUUAGAUGAGGGCGGAAUCCCUUUUGUCCACCGCUAAGUUGGAUGUCAACGUAGGAAUAAUGUUGACUUUUUCUUUCUUUCAUUCUGUUCUGUUGUUUUUUUUUAUCAAUUGUCAUCCCUACUCCUGCUUCCUACUCUAACUACGAGAAGGUUCAACUGAGCCUACAGGAGACCGAUGGGGAUAGAACCACCACCGGAUCAGACGAAUACACUACGCACCCGUCUGGAUUUGAAGCAGAGCCACAAGAGUGGCAUUUUGGUAGGAGGCAUUUUGGUGGGAGCCUCAAGAUUUGAACCCUUGCCUCCCACCCCACCAAUGUUUUAAGGGUUUGGUAGUGGUCACCAACCCAAGAGCUGGAUGGUUCAUUCUGUCCUGUUGUUAGGAAACUCUUUUUGUAAAUUUAGGGCAUUGAGAAGUAUGGCCCAACCAACUCUUUUAGUCUUUUAGGCGAGCAGGCUACUACAGAAAAUUGUCCGGCUGUAAGUUGAGAGGUCAAAACCCUAGAUUUGUUAAAUCUCUGGACUUGCAGUUAAUUCAAAAGAUGAAGAUGCUCUAAUACACCUUUCUCCAACUAUCUCUAGAUUCUCUUGGAUUAGGAGUAAGAAUAGAAAUAGAUUAACAAUUAUUGUGUCGACACAAAAAAAAUAAAUAUAAAAUGAUUUUGGAUGUGUGCCUUGAAAAUUUGCUCCUGUUGUUUCUGAUUGGAAAGUCUUUUGCAUCACAAAAAAUAAAAUAAAAUCCUGAAGAAGCUUGCCUUUUGCUCUCUUUCCAUUUCUUUCCGAGUUAGAUAAAACAUUUCAACACUCCGUUGCGGUAAGAUAUCUUAAGGUUCAACAUUAUUAGGAGGAAAAAUGGACUGGGUGGUUUGGGGGAGGGAGCGUAAAUAAGAGGUUUUAGAUUCAAACCCUUCCACUUAUACUAUAUAUAUAAAAAAAAGCUCCAUAUUACAUUAUUACUAGUGUUUUCUGCCCUAAAUAAACCACUUCCUUUUCUCUUCUUUCAUUGGAUUCUUUCCAAAUAUCGGUUCCCAAACGAGUUUAGAUCAAUUAUGAUAAAUAUAGGCACAUCUAUUUUGUGAGAGUACUUUUGAAGAAAUAGUUACACCUUGGAAUUAACGACAGGGAUGCCAUUCAUAAUGAAAAAAUAGUCUGAAAUUCGAGCUAAUCCAUAUAAAGUCAAAUUGUAGUCCUCACAUUAGUGGGAUUUGACAACCAAAAUCCUCCACUUGGAAGCUAAACUGUAGUCCUCAUAUUCGGCAACUUGUUGGUCAUCUUUUUUUUUCUUUUUUUUUUUAAAAGGUUUUGAAAACCAAUUAAAAAACAAGUAAUUCAUGAUUUUUUUAUAUCUUCAAUCAUUUACCUAUUAAAAAAACGACAUCUUCAAUCAUUUUAUAGCUUUCAACUUCCCCAUGUGAACCUUUUCAAACAGAAGCCACACAAUGGAGGAGGAAUAUUUGGAUGGUACUUUUCUCCUAAAAGGAGCUGGCUGUUGUAUAGUCAAUGUUCUAUCUGGGGAAGUAUCACCAUGGCAAUGAAUUCUUUUUUCCCUCUGUUUUUGGGUGAAUAUUCCCAGUUGCAGCAGGGGGCCAAUAUAUAUAUAUAUAUAUAUAUAUAUAUAUAUAUAUAUCCCACAUAAUAAAAGUGUCAUGAACUGGUCGUAAUCAUCGGAAUCAUACAUUCAUUGACUCGAGCUGUCAUCAAUGGCUCCUUCAAUUCCAUAAGGGCCAUUCCAAUUCACACUAGCUAGAGAAAAAGGUGAAAGAAGUACUUAGAAAAUGUCUUUUAUUGCUACGAUGCUAUUAUCUUCAAUGAUCAGCUUAAUAAUUUUCCUUUUAUAGAGCCAGUACCCGUACUCCUCACAUGUUGUAGAUUCUUGGUUUCAUGCUUCCAGCUGUUAACACAUUCUAUAAAUCUGAAUUUUACCUUGUUUGGAUUGCCAUUUUUUCACUCAAAACUUUUUAUGUUUUUCGUAAAUAUAUUUUCUAAUCACUUUUUUAUCUCAUAUAUAUCAAAUCAUUAUAGUACAUUAUUUUUACCAAAAAAAAAAAACUCAAGAAAAUAGCAAUCCAAAUGAGCUACAUCUUUCCAUUUUUAUUAUCCAACUAACGAAUAUGACAUCUUAUGUAUAGGUCAGUUAAAUAUUACAUUCUCUACCAAAUAUGAAUACAUAUCAUUUUUCUGAGCAAGUACAGAUUCUAUCCUUUUUAUUCCUGCCUAACAAAUUUGUGGUUGAACAUCUUCACAUGUGCUAUCAGAUCACAAGUUAUAGUAAUCUUCUGAAGAUAGUUUAAAUUUAUUCGUACAAUUUAGUCAAAAGAAGCAUAAUAAAUUCAAAAUUCACCAUGGUAUUAUUAAUGAGUACUUUCAAGGUCUCUAUUAUGGAAGCUUCCUUGGGUUGGUCAUGUAUACUAAUUAUUUAGUGUCAUGCACGCACGUCUAUGUUUUUCAGAGUGCUAAAGAUAAUAUUUUAUUGACGGCAGAUGAAAAUUAACCUUAAGCCGGCAACUUUUUUUUUUUUUUUUUAAUAAAAAAUUUUCAGUAAGUUAAGACGACUCCUGAAACUAUAUUAAGCUACUAAAAUACUACGAAAUUUUUGUCUUUGUUCCAGUGACUUCAGAAGCAUCAAAAGUAGGCGGGGCACACAGGCUUCUUCUACGAGGUUUAACUAUGCAAUUAGAGUCAAAAGAAUUCCUCUCAAGAUUAAUUGACAUGCCAAUUAAGAACUAAAUAUUGGUAUCAUCAUUUCAUGAAAUACAAGAUUACUGUUUCAAUAUAUGUAGACAUUAACUUUCUAUGCCUGAUUUAUUAUAAGAAAAAUCUAAAUAAUUGGCCUUAUAUGGAUUGUAAUUUUUCACCUAGAAAUUUUAUAUUUUUUGUUAACACAUUUUUUAAUCACCUUUUUAUCUCAAUACAACAAUUUGAUACAAUUUAUUUUUCUACAAAAAUUUAAAAAAAUGGUAAUCCAAACGGAUUGUUAAACAUUUCAGUAGCAAUUUAUCAAUUACCGAAGACGAAAAAUUGGUUGCCCCUCUAUACAAGGGAAUUCUUGAUCAUUCCACAUUCUGGUCUACUAUAAGGAGAAAUCAACCUAAACAUUUCGAUAGCAAGUUUUCAAUGACAGAAGAUGGAAAAUUGACUGCCCCUUUGUGCGAGGGGAUUCAUGAUCUUUCCUCGUUCUAGUCUACUUGUCAAUUCUUGGAAAAAAAAAAAAGAAUACUCAUUUCUAAAAUAUACAGCCUCUUCAUUUGCACUAUCCUGCAGUCAAAUUGAUAGGCAUAUAUUCCGAAACUCAGACACAAGCAAUUUUGCUAGGAAAAUUCACUGUUCAAUAACCAACUCGAUGCAUGCCUUACUGCAUUAUAAAUUUUGUACCCUUCCAGCACAAACCCCCCCUUUUUUUUUUUAUUUAUUGUAGCUUUUUCAUCUAGGUAAGAAUCUCCCAACUCAUUUCUUUAGAAACCCUGUAUUUAAUCCCACCUUUAAAAGUCUCCACAUGUUUCUUUAACAUUUAAAACUAUUCACCGACUCGCAAUUGACGUCAGAAAUUCUAAGAGGAAUUCUACUAUACUCCCAGAUUGGCCAUGAUGAGAAAAUGGUGAUUUUGAAUUAUUACAUUAUAACCUCCUUUUUUUUGGCAUGAAAAAGUUUGGGUAGAUUAGGCUUUGAUGAUCACCACUAGUCAAAAUAUACUCCCGAUACCAUAGAAUACUUACAAGUGUUCUAAUAUAUCGCUCACUAACACAGUUCUUAUAUCGACAGUAAAAUUCAAACAUAUAAUGUUUUGUAAGAAAGUAGUCCGAACUUACCAAUUCAACCAACUUGUGUUGACGAUGUACAUGUCUUCUUGACAAGAAAAGGAUGGACAAAAGAUAGUCAAACAAUGUCUAACACUUUUUUGGAGACAAAAAAGCAUUGCUAAAUCAAGCAUUUACACAAAAUUUCAAAGUCACCGCUAUGCUAAGUUGCAAAGUUAUGCAAACGCUUAAUAUUUUACCGUUCAGGAUUUAACAAUUUAGAGCAUAAUCCUCAAACAACGACAAUUAAAUAAUGAAUGGUCACGAUUGCCAAAUCAAAGUACAGUUCGACGACAACCCAUUACAACGUGUACAAGAUAAUUAACUUUUCCAAUGUUGUUUAAAGAAUUUGAAGAGACUUACUACGCUUACAUAUUGCAAGUCCUAGGGCUUAAAAAUGAAGAUAUGAGGGCUAUAUAAAGAGGGCUAGAAGCUACCUGGAAGCAUAUUCGCCUAAAACCAGAUUUUGUUGCAAUGGGGAGCAAAGCAAUGCGGUCUAGGCUGGCUCCUCUUCUUACCACCGUUUUGGUGGUAUUCGUCGCUCUUGGCUUGCCUUUAGAGACUGCAGCUGACUAUUACAAGUAUUCAUCUCCUCCUCCUCACAACUAUUCCUCACCACCACCUCUACUGUAUUCACCACCACCUCCUAUUUACAAGUCACCUCCACCACCUUACCACUAUUCCUCACCGUCACCUCCAGAGCAUUCACCUCCACCACCGCCUCCAGUUUACAAGUCACCCCCGCCACCUUACCACUACUCCUCACCACCACCUCCAGUGCAUUCGCCUCCUCCACCACCUUACCACUAUUUAUCACCACCACCUCCAGUGCAUUCUUCUCCACCACCACCGGUUUACAAGUCACCUCCACCACUAUCUCCAUUUUACAAGUCCCCACCACCACCUUACCAUUAUUCCUCGCCACCACCUCCAGUGCAUUCACCUCCACCGCCACCAGUUUACAAGUCACCUCCACCACCUCCUCCAGUUUAUAAGUCCUCGCCAUCACCUUACCAUUAUUCCUCACCACCACCUCCAGUGCAUUCACCCCCACCACCACCAGUUUACAAGUCCCGCCACCACCUUACCAUUAUUCCUCACCACCACCUCCUGUGCAUUCACCUCCACCACCAUUUACAAGUCACCUCCACCACCUCCUCCAGUUUACAAGUCUCCACCACCACCUUACCAUUAUUCCUCACCACCACCUCCAGUGCAUUCACCCCCACCACCACCAGUUUACAAGUCCCGCCACCACCUUACCAUUAUUCUCACCACCACCUCCAGUGCAUUCACCUCCACCAAUUUCCACCAAGUCACCUCCACCACCUCCUCCUCCAGUUCCUACCAAGUGCAUUCCACCAACACCACCUUACCAUUAUUCCUCACCACCACCUCCAGUGCAUUCACCCCCACCACACCAGUUUACAAGUCCCGCCACCACCUUACCAUUAUUUCUCACCACCACCUCCAGUGCAUUCACCUCCACCACCACCGGUUUACAAGUCACCUCCACCACCUCCUCCAGUUUACAAGUCCCCGCCACCACCUUACCAUUAUUCUCACCACCACCUCCAGUGCAUUCACCCCACCAUCACCAGUUUACAAGUCUCGCACCACCUUACCAUUAUUUCUCACCACCACCUCCAGUGCAUUCACCUCCACCACCACCGGUUUACAAGUCACCUCCACCACCUCCUCCAGUUUACAAGUCUCCACCACCACCUUACCAUUAUUCCUCACCACCACCUCCAGUGCAUUCACCCCAACCAUCACCAGUUUACAAGACACCUCCACCACCUCUUCUAGUUUACAAGUCUCCACCACCACCUUACCAUUAUUCCUCACCACCACCUCCAGUGCAUUCACCCCCACCACCACCAGUUUACAAGUCUCCGCCACCACCUUACCAUUAUUCCUCACCACCACCUCCUGUGCAUGCACCUCUACCACCAAUUUACAAGUCACCUCCACCACCUCCUCCUCCAGUUUACAAGUCUCCACCACCACCUUACCAUUAUUCCUCACCACCACCUCCAGUGCAUUCACCCCCACCACCACCAGUUUACAAGUCUCCGCCACCACCUUACCAUUAUUCCUCACCACCACCUCCGUGCAUUCACCUCCACCACCACCGGUUUACAAGUCACCUCCACCACCUCCUCCAGUUUACAAGUCCCCCCACCACCUUACCAUUAUUCCUCACCACCACCUCCAGUGCAUUCACCCCCACCACCACCAGUUUACAAGUCUCCGCCACCACCUUACCAUUAUUCCUCACCACCACCUCCUGUGCAUGCACCUCCACCACCAAUUUACAAGUCACCUCCACCACCUCCUCCUCCAGUUUACAAGUCUCCACCACCACCUUACCAUUAUUCCUCACCACCACCUCCAGUGCAUUCACCCCCACCACCACCAGUUUACAAGUCUCCGCCACCACCUUACCAUUAUUCCUCACCACCACCUCCAGUGCAUUCACCUCCACCACCACCGGUUUACAAGUCACCUCCACCACCUCCUCUAGUUUACAAGUCCCCGCCACCACCUUACCAUUAUUUCUCACCACCACCUCCAGUUCAUUCACCCCCAUCACCACCAGUUUACAAGUCUCCGCCACCACCUUACCAUUAUUCCUCACCACCACCUCCAGGGCAUUCACCCCCACCACCACCAGUUCACAAGUCUCCGCCACCUCCAGUCUACAAGUAUAAGUCACCACCACCUCCUUCCCCAAUUUACAAGUCACCAUCACCACCUUCUCCAGUAUACAAAUUACCUCCACCACCUCCUCCAGUUUACAAAUCUCCACCACCAUCAAUUUAUAAAUACAAGUCUCCUCCACUACCUCCUCCAGUGUACAAGUCAUCACCACCACCUGCUUACAAGUCUCCACCUCUUCCAGUUUACAGUUCCCCACCACCACCAAUCUACAAGUCUCCACCUCCACCCUACCAUUACUACUACAAUUCUCCUCCUCCUCCUCCUCGUCACUACUAAGCAAUUGUAUGCAAGUUUUUGAGGUAAUAACGCUUAACCAAUAAACUAACUUUCGCAUGAUAAAACUUAUCUCUAUCAAGACAAACUGCCAUGUGUAUCAUGCCAAAUACGUACACCUAGAUCCAUGAAAAUGAAUGGUAGAAAAUUUUCUUAAGAACUAAGGAACAGCAUUAGUAUUCCCUCUGCUUCCAAAAACUUGUGUAUUAAAUAGAUUAAUGAAUUGUUUAACAUGCUCAUUUACUUGAAAAUACACAAUACCCAUAACCUACUGAAUUUUUUGCAGGAAAAGGGAAAGACAAUCUGUGUUUGAGAGCUUCAUGAAGAUGUUGAAGAAUAAGAAUAAAAGCCCAAUGCGAGGAUGUUUCAAGUUUUUCUAUGUUUCCACUUUAAUUUGUAAAUUGAAUUUUGUGACUCAAUUAAUUCCCUGUUUGUGGGGUACGUGUUGUUUUACGUACCAUGCCGUACAGGUUUGUAAGGAUUUCUAUCCUAUUGGCAAAAGUCGGUUCCAUACAAUUAAUCAAUUCAUUUCACUUCUAUUGGCUCUACUAUUUAUGCAUGUUACGACAUUUUUUCUCUCUUUCCCUUAUAUUUUGCCUUUAAUAUUAUUGAAUCAAUAUUAAUAAUGGGCCUUUUUCUUAAAAUUAUACUAUUAUACAUAGGUUGUUUGGUCUAACGCUAAAUUCAUGUUUGUCUUUCUUUUAUUCCCUUUACAUCUCAAAGUAUACUAUAGUUUGUAAUCAUUGUGGUGAUGAUAUUGCCAGCUGGUACUUAUAGUUUAAGGCAGAGACAUGAUAUUAACAACUAUCUCAUUGAAACAUAAAGAAAAAUCAUGACAAGUGUGAGUCUUGGUUAAUGCACAAUUUGUUAGUGGAAUUUAUAUUUAUAAAACUCAAAAAAAAAUUUUGACAAUGCUAUUACUAAUUAAUUAAGGACUUUAUUGCUAUAAUUUAUCGCUUACUAGUUUAAACUAUAAAUGAUCUCAAUACUUUUCUCCAUGAUGUCGAUUUCUUUAGAUUACGAAAGGGAAAAAUUAGUGACAUAUCCCUUACUGAUUACAACAUCAGCAAAAAUUAGUUAUAAAUUUUUCCGGUGGUUUUAAAUCCCUCGGGCACUAAGAUUUUUUGCACAUCGAGUGAAUUGAGGAACAUAGGCAAUUCGUUCUGCAUACCAAGUCCUUGUUUAAGAUGCAAGUACUAAAAUGCAUCCACUUCAUUAAUUUGGGAAAUUGCCAUAGUUUUUUUUAAGCAUUUUGAUUUUUUACAUGAUUCAAAAUUUUCUUAUUGGAUACAAUCACUUUGUAUCAAGAACAUUUUCAAUCAUCCUUUUUAUCUUCUCAAUAAGAAAAUAAAAAUUUAUUCAUGCUUUUCUAACAUAUCCAAUCAUUGAUCUGAAAAAUAAAGAAUUUAAAAAAAAAGACAUUUUCAAUCAUUGCUUACAGGGCAACUUCCCCAUGUGAACCUCUUCAAACAAAGCCAAUAAUAUGAAGGAACAUCUAAAUACACUUUUGCCCUAAAGGCUGGUUGCCUUGGGGUCAAAAUUUAACCUUCGGGAGUAUAAUUACCCUGCCAAAUUUAUUAUUUUUUAUGGGUAUAUAGUUCCAAUUUUUCCUCCUGUUAAGCUUAUAAAUAUAUUAUCACCCAGAAAAUAAAGGAAUCUUGAAUACUAACAUGUCCAUUUACUUGAGUUGUCAUCAAUUUGGCUACUUCGAUUCCAUGAGGGCAAUCCAAUUCACACUUGCUAGAGAAAAUGGUGAUAAAGGCACAAAGAAAAUUAUAUGUAAUAUUGAUUGGUAGUAACCACCUUGUAUUGAUCCCACUAUUGUGGAUACUCGUGCUCUUAUGAAAAAAAAUUAUAAAAAAUUAGCAAAAUUUAAAAGAACAAAGUAAAUUUAUUCGUACAAAUCAGUCAAAGAAGUAGCAUUUUAAAGACCAUGAUGAAAUUAAUACUUUCAAGGUCUCUAUUAGGAAGACUUCCUUUGUUGGUGAAACUACACUAGGUACGGUUACAUGCAGAUGUUUACUGUUUUGGUACCUAAUUUCCUUGCCUUGAGUUGGGUGCAGAUGUUUAUAUUACAAAUAGAUGGUAUCAUAAAUUUGUUGUAUUAACGUCUGUUCUUUUUUUUCUUCCUUAAGUUUUUUUCUUUAUUCUCGUGACUUCAAAAAUACGAACUCAAGAAAUUAACUGCUUCGACAUUAAGGUAUAACUUCACAACUAGAGCCAAUAGAAAUCGUCAAAUGAUUUUUUGACAUCCAAAUUAAGCAAUAAAUUUUGUUUUCAUUUCACGGGAGAUUUUAUAGUUUCUUUUGGGUAUCAUACCUACAAGUGAUAAUUGUCAUUGGAUAGUGAAAGAAGUGUUAAUGAUUGUAAGAUUAAAUAUUGAAAAUUUAAACUAUUUAUCUUUAUUGAGAGAUACAACUUAAAGAAUCGUAUCCAAAAGAGACUAUAGAAUUUUCUCUGUUUUUCAUCAUCUGUAGACAUAAACUUUCUACGGUUGAUGUACUAUAAGGAAAUUUUGCCUAUACAAUGUGAUACCAUUUUUUCAAAAAGACAAGAUGGCAAAUUGCCCCCUUGAACGGAAAAAAUCAUGAUCUUUCCUCAAACUAGUCUACUUGUCAAUUCUUUGAAAAAGAAUACACUGCCCCGCAGAAUUCUAGAAAGUUAGGCAAAACUAGACAAGUUGACAGCUAUAAUCAUACCCAAGAUCAGGAACAAGCAGUUACACAUUUCAAAAUUCGCUGCUGCAACAACUAAUUUGAUGACUUACAACACUAAAUGGUCAAACUUUGAAUGGCAAUGAAUCUUUUGUUGUACAUCAUGAUGUAAUUUUCAUGUUACAUAAUAGAUUGAUAUCUAUGUUCUUUAAAUUAUCAUAAUAAUUAAAUUUAACUGAUAAAAAGAACACAUAUCAAUACACAAAAGUGUGUAACGUGAAUGUUAUAUUAGUGUAUUGCAGAAGACCUAUAGUCUCUUCACAUCUCUUCCUGCAUCUUUUAUGUUUUAUUACCUCCAAAAGCCUUUACAGGGUCUUUACCCUAAAAAUCAAUUCACCGACUCGCAUUUGAUGUCAGAAAUUCUUAAGACGAAUUCUACUUUACUCAAAGAUUGACUGUUAAUAAUGAGACAACGACCAUUUUGUAUUAUUACACCGUCCUUCUUGAUAGGCAAAAGAAAUAGAGAGGAAAGCGGGUCCGUAUAUGGUCUUUUAUUCAUAGAUAAUACAACAUUACGCCAUCGAGCAUUCACACAAUAUUUCAAAGUCAUUGCAUGCCUAAAGCCCCGCUUGAUAAUCCAAUUUCAUACUUAAAUUUAAUGGAUUCAAAUUUUAACACAUUCAAAUUGUUUGAUAACAAAAAAUUGAACGUCUAAAUUAAUUAAGUAACACUAAAUUUUUUAGACAAAACUUGCUCCCAAAAUUAAGUGAUAAGCUAUAUCACUUAUCACUGAAUGUGAUAUGCAUUCAAAUGUAUUAUAUUUAAUACUUAAUAAUUUAAUAAUUUAAUGGAUUCAAAAUUCAGAUUUUAGAUUUCAGUUUUAUCAAACAUACCCUAAGUUGCAAAAUAAUACCAAAACUUGUUAUUAUAUAGCUUGAGAUUCAAAAAUUUAGAGCAUAAUUCUCAACCUAACACAAUUGAAUAAUGAAUAUUCACGAUUGUCAAAUCUAUCAAAGUACAAUUUGAGGACAACCCAUUCCAACGCGUACACAAUUUCUCACUUUUCUAAAGUUGUUGAGAGCUGUUAAAAGAGAUUUACCAUGUUUACAUCUUCCAAGUCUUGGGAGUAAAAAAUGAAGCCACCGAGUGCUAUAAAAAGGGGGCUAGAGGCUGCCUAGAAGCAUAUCAGCCUAAAACAAGAAUUUGUAGUAACAAUGGGGAGCAAAGCAAAAGCAACGGGGUCUAGGCUGACUCCUCUUCUUACCACUGUUUUAGUGGUAUUUGUCGCCCUUGGCUUGCCCUUGGAAACUGCAGCUGAUUAUUACAAGUAUUCAUCUCCUCCUCCUCCUCCUUACCACUAUUCUUCACCACCACCUCCAGUGUAUUCACCUCCACCAACCCCUGCUUAUAAGUUACCCCCACCAUCUCCUCCAGUUUACAAGUCCUCACCACCACCUUACCACUACUCACCACCUCCGGUGUAUUUACCUCCACCAUCUCCAGUUUACAAGUCACCACCACUACCCCCUCCGGUAUACAACUCCCCGCCUCCACCAGUGUACAAAUACAAGUCCCCACCACCACCUCCUCCAGUUUACAAAUCUCCACCGCCACCAGUUUACAAAUACAAGUCACUCCCACCACCUCCUCCGGUAUACAAGUCUCCUCCGCCACCUGUUUACGAGUACAAGUCUCCUCCACCACCUCCUCCAGUGUACAAGUCCCCACCACCUCCAGUUUACAAGUACAACUCACCUCCACCUCCUCCCCCAGUUUACCUGUCUCCACCUCCACCCUAUCAUCACUACUACGGUUCUCCUUCUCCUCACCACUACUAAGCAAGUGCAUAAGUUUUGAGGUAAUAAUACCUAUCCAAAACUUUAUCAACACAAACUGCCAUGUAUAUCAUGCUAAGGACGUACACUUGAUCCAUGAAAAUGACUAGUAGAAGAUUUUUUUUAAGAACCAAAGAAAUACAUUAUUUUUUCGGUCUGUUUUCAAGAAUUUGAGCAGUAUACAGAUUAAAGAGUGUUUUUUUUUUUGUAAACUUGCUUGUCAACUUAAAAAUGCACAUAGCUGAAAGCCAACUGAAUAUUUGCAGGCAAAGGAGAAGGCAAUCGGUGUUUGAGACCUUCAAGAAGAUGUAGAAGAAUAAGAAUAAAAGCCCAAUGCGAGGAUGAUUCCAAGUUUCUACGUUACCAUUUCUACAUCUAAAUUGACUUUAGCUCCUGAGUUCCAUGUUUAUGGGGUUUGUACCGUUUUACGUACCAUGCAGUACAUGCUUGCAAGGUUUUCUGUCCUGUUGGCAAACUGCAGGUCCAUAUAAUAAAUGAAUACUAUUUACAUUACGACACUUUUCUCUUUUUCUCUUAUAUUUUGUCUUUAAUAUUGUUGAUCAUUUUUUUUUUAUCAAAAGCAUCAAAUGCUUAGGUAAUUUGGUCUAAUGCUAAUUGUUUUACUUUUAUUUUUCACCUACACCCCUUUUCAACUCAAAGGAUGCUAUAGUUUGUGAUAAUUGUUUAAGACCGAAGCAUGAUACUAAUAAAUAUCUCAUUGAAAGUCAAGGAAACUAACAUUAGGAAAAGUUUAAAUCUUGAUUUGAUGAAACUAUUUAUUCGUGGAAUUUAGAGAUACAAAACUCAAAUUGUGACGGUGUUGUUGCUAAAUUAUUAAGGACAUUAUCACCAUUAUUUUUCCCUGAUCACUAGUUUCAACUGCAAUGAUCUCAAUCUUUUUGUGACUAAUUCUUUCCUUAAUAAUUUAUAAAGACAAAACUCACAAAGAAUAUGUGACUAAUUCUUUCCUUUCGUCUUCUAAAGAAAAUGCCAACUGUUAGUUUAUCAAGGGGAAAAAGGAUCGACAUCAGUUAUUAUUGAAACUAGUAAGGAAUAAAUAAUGGUGAUAAUGUCCUUAAUAAUUUAACAACAGCACCAUCAGAAUUUGACUUUGAGCUUCGGUCUUAAACAAUGAUCACAAACUACAGCAUCCUUUGAGUUGAAAAAGGAAGUAGGUGAAAAGAAAAGUAAAAAAUACAAUUAGCAUUCCCUCAAAUUGUAGAAAGUUAGGUAGCAUUAUAGACAAGUUGAUAGCGGCAAUUUUACAUUUCAAACUUCACCUAUUCAAUAACUAAUUCGAUGGCUUGCUACAUGGUCAAUCUUUGGACCCCUUCCUGCCUCCAGAUAUCCCUUUCCUCAAUCAGGGGCUUCUACAAUUACCAGUUUCAAUUGUAUGGUAUAGUGUAAAUAUCAACAAAUUAGAUGUAGAUGCUAACAUAAUAAAUGUGAAUGCUAAGACAGCAACAUACAAUCGAACCUGCAAUUGUAUGAACCCCAAUCUCGCUUCCUAGUCCACCAUCUUUCUCUAGGUAAUAAUCUCCCUUCUAAUUUAUUCACAAAAUGCACCUUUCAUCACCUCCAAUAGCGUCGACAUGAUCUUUACCCUAGAAGACUAUUCACCGACUCUCAAUUGACGUCAGAAAAUCUAAGAGUAAUUCUACUUUACCCUAAGAUUGAUAUCAACAAGACAAGGACAAUUUAGAAUUAUUACACGCCUCUUCUUAAUAGGAAAAAGAAAUAGAGAAGAAAGUCAGGCCAGGUCUAAUUUCUUUUCAAAGGCAAUACAACAUUACGAAAUCAAGCAUUCAUUCAUACAAAUAUUUCAUAGUCACCGGUUUGCUGAGUAGAAAAAUUUAGACAAAAACUUAAUAUUAUAUUGUUUAAGAGUUAACAAUUUAGAGCUUAAUCUCCUUGUACUUUGGAGUUAACAAUUUAGAGCUUAAUCUCCUUGUACUUUGGACUAAACUUGAACGUGAAAGGAAAUCCCAAAACCAUAUUGGGCAUGAAUUCACACUUAAUAUACCCAAUAAAAGAUGGCGACUGGUGAAAGGCAGUGGAGACUGGUGGAGAGAUUUGAGGAAUAGAAGCAGACGGAAAAGCAACAAAUUUUUGCCGAAAAACGGUCACUUUCAUGGUUAAUUUUGCUACUCUCCAAUUGUACUUGACCAAUUACAACAAUUUCAUGGAGUUUGAUACGUGAAAAGAAUUUUUUAUAAAUUUUAUUUUGAUCCAUAAUGUUAUCUUUACAUAUAUAAAACAUUUUACAAUUUUGAUUUUGGCGCAGCUAACUUUUGGUUAACAAAAAUGCUCAUGUUUAAAAAACCAGAAAUAAAACAAAACAAGAAACAAAAGAAAUAAGAGGGUAGCAUAGACAUUUUGGAUUUUUCCGUUAAUUUGGAUGAUUUCCACCCACGUUCUAAUUUAAUCCAAAACACAAAGGAAUUACGUAGAGGUUUUAAAUAAUCAGGGAGCUUCAUGAUCGAACCCCAAACCACGUGAUAGCAUACAAGAGUUCUAUUUCACUAUCGGUAGACAAAGACUUUCUAUGGUUGAUGUACCGUAGGAAAAAAUCUGCCUAUACAACGUGAUAGCAUUUUUUCAAAAACACAAGAUGGAAAAUUGCCCCCUUAAACGUGGAAAUUCAUGAUCUUUCCUCGAACAAAGAAUACUCACGCCUAUUCAAGAUGGAAAAUUGCCCCCUUAAACGUCUAUUUGUCAAUUCUUGAAAAAAGAAUACUCACGCCUAAAACACGGCCUCUUCAUCUGCAGAAUUCUAAAAAGUUACGUAAACUCUAUAAACAAGUUGAUAGGUACAAUCGUACCCAAGAUCAAGUACAGAUAGUUGUACAUUCACUGCUGCAAUAACUAAUCUGAUGACUUACAAACAUAUCAUGGUCAAUCGUUGAAUGGUAAUGAGUCUUUUGUUAUGCAUUAGUAUUAGUGUGUACACUCUAAUAGAUUGAUACUUAUACUCUUUAAAUUAUCAUAAUAAUACCCUUAAUUAACUUUAACUCUUAAAAAGAAUACGUGUUAAUACACGAGAGUGUGUAACCUGAAUUGUUACUUAUACAUUAGUGUGUAAUAGAUAGGGAUGGCAGUGAGGGCGAGUGCCCGCGGGGGGCUCUCGGGGCGGGGGCGGGGGAGAAUUUUUUCCCCCCGUUUAGAAACGGGGCAGGGGACGGGGGAGUAUACCCCCGCCCCAUCCCCCGCCCCGCCACCCGCAAAAAAAAUUAUAUAUAUAUAAUUAUAUAUAAUAUGUAAUUUAAUUAGUUAUAAACUUAUGAUAAUGAUAUUAUUAGUUAGAUGUAUUAUAUAAUGUAUAUUAGUGUAUGUAAUAUAAUUAAUAUUAUCAAUUAUACGAAUAAUUAGACAUGUCCACUAAUAGAGUUUAUUAAUUAGUUAUACUAAAUUUACUAAUACAUUUGUACUAAAUUUCUAAUUACACUUAAUAGAAUAACACUUUUUUCUAAAAAAAAAAGCACAAACACAAUAAUGAAUUAGUGAUUGUAUUUGUACCAAAAGUGAAAACUUAACUAUUUUAGUUGUAUUUAUUUCAUCAUGUUGGAUUGUAUUCAAAUAAUUUUUGUUUGAUUGUUUUUAUGAGUUUCAAUUGUAAAAUUAAAAUGAAUAAUAACUUGAUGAUGUGUUGAUAUUUUAGUACUUGAUUAUUUAUUGAUUUAACUAUAAUAAAAUUUUAUUUUAUUAAAAUUUAACUAUAAUAAAAUUUUAUUAACCAAACGAGUUAUUAAUCCCGCGGGGGCACCCACGGGGGAAGCGGGGCGGGGCGGGGGAGUGGGAGGCGGGGGACGGGGCGGGGGUGGGGGGAGUUGUAGGUAGCGGGGCGGGGGAUGGGGGAGGGGUCCCCCGCCCCAACCCCGCCAUCCCCCGCCCCGUUGCCAUCCCUAGUAAUAGACUGGCAAGCAUUGUGGUGGUCAUUGAGAACUUACUGGAGAAAUAGUCCUAUAAGCUGUUCAAUGAGCAAUCACAACUUGCUAAUUGGAUGACUAAUAUAGCUCUAGCUGUAAUGUUUUAAUUAAAUUACAUCACUAACGUUGGGAUGACUUUUUAACCAAAAAAAAAUGCCUUAGUUCAAGCUUUUCCCUUUAUUGUGCAUUUUUUAAAGCAUUUGAUAGGCACUGCAAAUCUGUCAUUUUGGACAUUUUAUUAUUGACUAACAAUGAAAGCCGUGACGUCUACCCAUAACCAACACAAGAUUAAAUUAAUAUUAGAAAAAAUAAUUGAGUAAUUGGAAAAAAAAAAAGAGACUCAUUUUCAUUGAAACCCACCGACAAACUAAACGUGUCCAUGGCUUUUGAAUAGUGCAUUCAACGUUUAAUUGUAUAGUCCAGUUCAUUGCAGAUUACAUGGAGUAAAGAUUGUGCUCUUUCCUUUUUCACCCCUUUUGGAAUCGAUACUGUGGAGAAUUGGGUUUUUCCCUUCUUUUUUUCUUUUCUUUCCUUCUGUGCUUUGCAAAACAUAGGUAAAAAUAUGAAAUCCGAAGCAUUCUUUAAUUGGGAUUAAGUAUUGUUGUUGAAAUUAAAAAGAAAAAAGAAAGAACAACAAAAUUCCCAAUCUGGGUUGAUUGUUGAGCUCUAGAUUGGUUGCAUCGUGCUUCCAUAGAAGCUCUCUUAGUGUGAUACACUGCUUUCAAUCAGUUUAACACGGGAAAAAAAAAAAAAGAGAUGAAAAGCAAAUUUGGUGGGGAUAAUUUCAGAAACCUCCCCUGAAGAUUUUGACUAUUCUACUGGUCUCCCUUCAGAUUUUAAAAAUUACACUAAUCUUCCUUGAAGUUAAUUAUCUUGUAACAUUUAAAUUCAAUCAAUAAUUUAAAAAAUGAUAUUAUGAGAGAGAAAAUAAUGAUUUUAUCAUUGCCCCCCAUCUUACUACAUUAUUUAAUUAAUUUAAUAGCAACCCACACAUUAAAGAAAAAUAUUAAAAUUUGUUGUUUAUCAUUAAAGAUCAAAUCGCUUAUAACAUCAAAUAAUAGUAUAUUAUUUAUAUUUUUCACUCAAUAUAAUAUCCAAAUUACUCUUUUCAAUUACAUACCCAUUGUUAGACAAUCAACAACAAAUAACCAAAAAAUUUGCAACCAAAAUAUUACAAAAAAAUAAACUUUAACAUAUAAAUAUUCUUAUCAACAUAUUAAAGUUAGUUACUGAAAUUUUUAUGCUGUUAAACUUCACUCUUUUUGGUUACAGAUUUUUUUGAUUAUUUGUUAUUAAUUAUGUUUGAUGAUGGAUUUAUAAUUGAAAAGAACAAUUUGAAACUUACAUUAAGUAAAAUAUAUAGAGUGAUAUACUAUUUUUUAUAACAUAUGUGAUUCAAUCCUUCUUGAUAGGAUUGGUAAUAGAGGUAGAGGGGGGAGCCGGCUGCAUCCGGUCUACUUUUCAUAGAUAGUACAAUAUUGCGAAAUCGAUCGCAUUCACGCAAUAUUAUUUCCAAGUCAUUGCAUGGCUAAGCUGCAAAAAAAGUACGAACACAUGUUAUUAUAUAGCUUACGAUUCAAAACUUUAGAGCAUAACCCUCCACCUAACACAAUUGAAUAAUGAACAUUCACGUUUGUCAAAUCUGUCAAAGCACAGUUUGAGGACAACCCAUUCCAACCUGCAAAAGAUUUUUUACUUUUCUAAAGUUGUUGAGAGCUGUAAAAAGACUUACCAUGCUUGCAUCCUCCGAGCCUUGGGAGUUAAAAAUGAAGGCACUGAGUGCUAUAAAAAGGGGAAUAGAGGCUGCCUAGAAGCAUAUCAGCCUAAAACAAGAAUUUGUAGUUAAGAUGGGAAGCAAAGCAAAAGCAAUGGGGUCUGGGCUGACUCCUCUUCUUGCCACUGUUUUAGUGGUGUUUGUUGCUCUUGGCUUGCCCUCACAAACUGCAGCUGAUGAUCACUACAAGUAUUCAUCUCCUCCUCCUCCUUACCACUAUCCCUCACCACCACCACCAGUGCAUAUACCUCCACCUCAUCCUGUUUACAAGUACAAAUCUCCACCACACCCCCAGUACAAGUAUAAGUCACCACCACCACCUCCUCAUCCGGUAUACAGUCUCCUCCGCCACCACACACCCAGUUUACAAGUACAAGUCACCACCACCACCUCCUCAUCCGGUACCACACCCAGUUUACAAGUAUAAGUCUCCUCCGCCACCAGUUUACAAAUACAAGUCUCCUCCACCACCACCUCCAGUGUACAAAUACAAGUCUCCACCACCACCAGUUUACCACUACAAGUCUCCACCACAGUUUACAAAUACAAGUCUCCACCACCACCCCCAGUUUACAAAUACAAGUCUCCACCACCACCAGUUUACCACUACAAGUCACCACCACCUCCUCCCCCAGUUUACAAAUACAAGUCUCCACCACCUCCUCACCACUACUAAGCAAUUGCUUCUGAGGUAAUAACACUUGUUCAAUAUACCCACUUCUGCAUGAUAAAGCAUAUCUCUAUCAACACAAACUGUCAUGUCUAUCAUGCUAAGUGCCUUCACUUCAUCCACCAAAAUGACUGCUAGAAAAUUUUUUUUAUGUUACCAAAGAAAGGCAUCAUUUUUUCCCUCUGUUAUCAAGAACUUGUACAGUAUAUAGAUUAAAGAGUAUUUUUUUAACUAGCUUAUCAACUGAGAAAUGCAUAUAGCUGAUAGCCAGCUGAAUAUUUGCAGGCAAAGGAGAAGGAAACCAGUGUUUGAGACCUUCUUGAAGAUGUAGAAGCAUAAGAAUUAAAGCCCAAUGUGAAGAUGAUGAUUUCAAGUUUUUCUACGUUACCAUUUCUUUAUCUAAAUUGGUUGUAGCGCCUUAGUUCCUUUGUUUAUGGGAUUUGUAUCGUUUUACGUACCAUGCAGUACAUGUCAUGUUUGUAAGGUUUUCUAUCCUGCCGGCAAACCGCAGGUUCCAUGUAAUAAAUCAAUACUAUUUAUAUUACGACACUUUUCUCUGUUUCUCUUAUAUUUUGUCGUCUUUAAUAUUCUUAAUCAUAUUUUUAACAAAAAUAUUCAAACACUUAGGCAAUCUGGUCUAAUGCUAAUUGUAUGUUUUACUUUUCUUUUUCACCUGCUCCCCUUUUCAACUCAAAAGGAUGCAAUAGUUUGUGAUCACUGUUUAAGACGGAAGCAUGAUACUAAUGAAUAUCUCAUUGAAACUCAAGGAAACUAACAUUGCGAAAAGUGUAAAUCUUGAUUUGAUGCAACUAUUUAUUCGUGGAAUCUAUAGUUACAAAACUCAAAUUCUGACUGCGCCAUUGAUAAAUUAUUAAUGACGCUAUCAUCAUUAUUUAUCCCUAACUAGUUUCGACUACAACUGAACCCAAUAUUUUCCCCAUGAUAAAAGUUUUUGACUAUUUUACUGGCCUCUCUUCAAAUUUUAAAAAUUACACUAAUCUUCAUUGAGAUUAAUUAUCUUGUAACAUUUAAGUCCAAUUAAUAAUUAAAAAAUGAUAUUAUGAGAGAGAAAAUAAUAUAAUUUUAUCAUUGCCCCCCAUCUUGCUAUAUUAUUUAAUUAAUUUAAUAGCAACCCACACAUUAAAGAAAAAUACUAAAAUUUGCUGCUUUUCAUUAAAGAUCAAAUUGCAUAUGCCAUAAAACAUAGUAUAUCAUUCUAUAUGUUUCACUUAAUGUAAGAUCCCAAUUGUUCUUUUCAAUUACAAACCCAUUGUCAAUAACAAAUAACCAAAAAAUUUGCAACCAAAAUAUUACAAAAAAAAACUUCAACAUCAUAAAUAUUCUUACCACCUCUAGUGCAUUCACCCUCAUAAAAUAAUUCAAGACCCUACUGUCAUAAAAUGACUGAUCAACUCCCGUAAACCUAAUUUGACAACAUUUAAAUGGAGAACUUUAGCUAAAAGAAUUAUGGUCAAGCUAAAGAAAAAACCAGUUAUUUUCCAACAUAUGCAAUCAUUGAUCAGGGAAAAAAAAAAGAGCAAAAAGACAUCUUCAAUCAUUUAAUAGCUUACAGGGCAAAUUAACCCCUAAGCGAAAACUGGUUGCUCUAGAAUCAAAAUUUUACUUUAGUUACCCAGGCAACUUUUUUGUUGCUUUUUUUUUUUUUUUCCUUUAGUUUUGCCCCCUCUGUCAAGCUUAUAAAAUUAUUAAGAUAAUAAAAGUGCCUUGAAUAGUAUUAAUAUAUCCAUUGACUUGAGCUGUCGUCAGUUUGCGAUUCCAUGAGGCCUUUUCAAAGUACUCAGAAAAUGGGGAGUCAUGAAAUCCAUUUGUUCUAUUCAUUGCUAAGAUGCUUUUCUCUAUAAAGAGACUUCCUAACGAAAAUACUUUGUAGAUUUCUUUACUCCAAGUGGUGCAUGGAAAAUUAAUAUUUUCAAUUAUCAAAUAAAAUUCCCUUUUUUCGGCGUAGAUUUCAUCCAUCCAGCUGUUAACACAUUCUAUAAAUCCGAAUUGACUAAUCUUUUCGUUUCCAUUUUCCAACUUGCGAAUACGGCAUAUAGUGUCUGCUAAACACUAUAUAUUCUCUGCCAAAUAUGAAUACAUAUCACUUUUCUGAGCAAGUGCAGAGUCAUUAUCAUUUUUAUUCCCACCUAACAAAUUAGGGAUAAAAAAGUUAAUAAUCUUUACAUGCUAUCAGGUCACAAGUUAAUAAUCUUUUAAAGAACAUGUUAAAUUAAUUUAUUGGUAUGAAUAGUAGUCAAAGAAGUAUGUUAAAGUUAGUAAUCUUUAAAAUAAUAUGUUAAAAUCAUUCGUACAAAUUAGUCAGAGAAGUAGCAUAAACACCGCGAUGCAAUUAAUACUUUCAAUCUCAAGGUCUCUAUUAUGGAAAUUUGCAUCGGUCAAUAUACACUUGGCAUAAUAUAAUCUCCCAACUCAUUUCUUUACAAAUGCACCUUUAAUCACCACCAAAAGGUGUGGACAUGAUCUUUACCCUAGAAAACUAUUCACCGACAGGCAAAUUGACGUCAGAAAUACUGAGGAAUUCUAGUUUCCUUCGGGUUCAUGCCAUGUUGUAUCCUUCAACUGUAACUCGAUUUCUAAGCUGUAAUUUGUGACAUAAUAGUCCUUAAACUAUGAAACCCUUCUUACUUAAUUACAAUGGUUAAUACAAUGCCCGUGACUAGACAAGUAUGAAGCAACCAUAACAGAAAAAAAAUCCAAAAUUAGAGAAAAGAAAGAAGUUUCGCGACCACCACCAGUUUACAAGUCACCUCCACCACCUCCUCCAGUUUACAAGUCACCUCCACCACCUUACCAUUAUUCCUCACCACCACCUCCAGUGCAUUCACCCCCACCACCACCAGUUUACAAGUCUCCGCCACCACCUUACCAUUAUUCCUCACCACCACCUCCUGUGCAUGCACCUCCACCACCAAUUUACAAGUCACCUCCUCCAGUUUACAAGUCUCCACCACCACCUUACGAUUAUUCCUCACCACCACCUCCAGUGCAUUCACCCCCACCACCACCAAUUUAUAAGUCUCCCCCACCGCCUCCCCCAGUAUAUAAGUCACCACCACCACCUCCUCCAGUAUACAAAUCACCUCCACCACCUCCUCCAGUUGACAAAUCUCCACCACCACCAAUUUAUAAAUACAAGUCUCCUCCACUACCUCCUCCAGUGUACAAGUCAUCACCACCACCUGCUUACAAGUCUCCACCUCCUCCAGUUUACAGUUCCCCACCACCACCAAUCUACAAGUCUCCACCUCCACCCUACCAUUACUACUACAAUUCUCCUCCUCCUCCUCGUCACUACUAAGCAAUUGUAUCCAAGUUUUUGAGGUAAUAACGCUUAACCAAUAAAUUAACUUUCGCAUGAUAAACCUUAUCUCUAUCAAGACAAACUGCCAUGUGUAUCAUGCCAAAUACGUACACCUAGAUCCAUGAAAAUGAAUGGUGAGGAGGGCCAUUUAGGCUCGGAGCGCCCUAGGCCUAGUUCCCCACCAUUUCCUGAAGUGCCGCCUCGGGUAUUAUCCUGGAAGGCGAUCGCGGCCCAUUUACCACCUCGGCUACAAUGUCAGGUCGUAACACCGAGGUGGACAUUGAAUGACAACUACGAAAAGGGGAGAUGUGAUCUCUGACACCUGAGCAAAGGCUGCUCUGACCCGCCGCCUGAAUCUGACAGAAUGUCCCAUCACGUCUCUUCAUGGAGACCGGUCAAGUCCACCUGAUCCACUGACUAUCUCAGAUCUUUUGGGACCCGUGCAAACAUCUCCUCUCUCCUAUCAGUCCCCUAUAAAUACACGAUACUUCUACUGAAAAAGGAGAUGACCAAUUUCUGGUAAAACACACUCCACUCAUUAUUUACUUCUCUAUAUCCGAACUGACUUAAGCUUCGGAGUUAUACCGGGGGAUCCAGCCCCUUUCUUAUCCAAGCAGGUGACUUCGUCCAAGAGAGUUGCCCAAGGUAAAGAUAUUCUUCCAAUUGAGGUGACUCACUCCUGCGGGUCGAAAAUCACCUCUUCAAUUGGCGCCGUCUGUGGGAACCGCAAAGAUAUUAGAAGAUGAAGCCUGCGCGUUCUAGAAGCAGAAAAGCUCUCACUAUCGAGGCUGGGCAAAGCAAUGCAGCUCAACAAGAAAAUAUUUCUGAAGGGCAGGAGUCCCCAAGGACUCAGCCCGCAAACGAAAAAGCCAUAACCCGUAUGGCCGAGUUUGUGACCGAGAACCCCAACAUCUUUGAAGAGUUGGGAAGAUACCUGAAGAGGCAAGGCAAACAAAAGGCCGAGUCCUCUAAAAGGAUGUCAGAUGGGUCUCUUGAGGACUCAUCUGAGGAGGAGUCGGAUGGAAGGCACUUAAGCCGAAGUGCCUCAAAGCGAGCAUUUUCUAAGGCCACUUCUAAGGUAGCCUCCCUGACCAAGGCGUUUUCCCGAGGGCUCUUGGGCCGACGACCCGAGGAAGAACCUCGGCCCUUGGGAAUACCCGGGGUGGACUGCAUGAGGGCUCCACCGUUCACGGAUGAUAUAAACGAGGAAAGGCUUCCUCCCAAUUUUAAGCUCCCCGCAGUACAAUCUUACGAUGGCCGAGGUGAUCCCGAGAAUCACAUCCAUACCUUCAUCUCGGCCUUCCAAAUAUACUGCAUCCCAGACCCUGUCAUAUGUCGGGCCUUUCCAGUAUUCCUCAGAGGAACUGCUCGAAAAUGGUUCUGAGCUCUAGAACCUAGGAGCAUUUCGACCCUGGGUGAAUUAGUGGAGAAGUUUCUCCACCGAUUUGUCUCCUCCCGACCUACGACUAGGACCUCGGCUUACCUGCUCACCGUGCAGCAGAACCCGGGAGAGUCACUCCGGUCGUACGUCCGGAGGUUCCAUGAGGAAAGCGUUCAGAUACCUGACCCCAAUGAGCAGGUAACCCUCGCUGCCUUUACCCAUGGACUCGUUGCCGGGGAGUUCAAUACGGGGAUCCAUAAAAAAUACCCCCGCACACUGCAUGAAUUGUGGUUGAAGGUUGAAAAGGGCAUACAGGCCGAAGACCUCCAUCGCAUGAAGAAAGAGGUCCAAGCCACCCGUCCAAGGGCUGAGCCCAGAAAGGGAAAAGACGCUGGCCGAACUGAAGUAGGGUCGGGAAGUGGCUUCCGAAGUCCUGGCCGAGACCGCCGCAGCGUGUUCGACAGGAUAUCCAAGGGGAAGUCACCUAUUCCCGAGUCCGAGUUGACUCCUUUAAAUACUACCCGAUCUCACGUGUUGUCCGUGAUGGAACAAAACAACCUCGGCAAGGGCCCGCCGAGGAUGUUUGGAAGCAGAGACAAGAGGAACUCGAACCUCUACUGCUUGUAUCAUCGUGACAUUGGUCACGAAACUGAGGAUUGCAACGAUCUCAAGAAGGAGAUCGAGAACCUCAUUAGACGGGGACACUUGAAACAGUUCAUCCGCAGAGGUGGAGGUCACCAACGUGACGAAAACCGGCAUGACAAAUGAGGUGACCAACGCCGAGAUGAGCGGCGGAGCUCCAGAAGCAGUUGCCGACCUCCUGAGGAUCCCAGGGAGACGAAAAGGCCUCCCCCAGACGGAUCUUCGGGACAUGGGCCAACCAUUGCCCGGGUCAUUAACACCAUUGCCGGAGGUCCGACGGGAGGGGACAGUCAGAACUCCCGGAAGAGAACCUAUAAGCAGGCUAACCCGGAUCAGGCCGAGUCGAGUUCUCGCCUGUCCGAGGUGAUCACCUACGGGCUCAGUGAUCCCAUCCCAGCUGCAUCCAGCAGUCAUGAAACCUUGGUGAUUGAAGUCCUCACCAAUAACUACAUUGUGAAAAGGUCUACAUAGACCCGGGAAGUUCAGUUGACGUCAUGUACCUCCGUACCUUUGAGAGCCUUAAAAUGGCUAAGGGGUGCAUGACCCCGCUGAGAACCCCUCUUGUAGGGUUCGGGGGACACGUGGUGCACCCCGAAGGGAUGGUGACUCUGACAGUGACCAUAGGGCAUCACUCUCGCUGUAGAACCGUCCCUGUCAAUUUUGUGGUGGUUAAGGCUGACUCCCCAUACAACCUACUUUUAGGUCGGCCUACGCUCAAUGCCUUGCGGGCGGUCUACUCCACCUACCACCUGAGCUUCAAGUUUCCUACCCCAGCAGGGGUGGCCGAGGUCAGCAGCGACGUCUGUGCUGUCCGGGAGUGCUACCUCGCCACCCUACAAGCAGCCUCCCCGUCUACCUCCGGUGCGAGGUCCGAGAAGAGGUCAAAUAUCCUCUCAAUAGAUAGCAUCGAUCCUCAGUGAGCUGAGAAGGUCCCGAGGCUGGAGACUGGGGAUGAGGUGGAAGAGAUUCCCCUGGACCCCACGAAACCUGAUCAGACAGUUCGCGUUGGUACCCGAUUGCCCGGUCCUAUCCGAAGAGGUAUGAUGGACCUCCUCAGGGAAUACCGGGACGUCUUUGCUUGGGCCGCCGAAGAGGUCCAAGGAGUCCCGCACCAUCUCAUGAUGCAUGACUGAACGUCGACCCCCAAGUCCGUCCGGUCAAACAGAAGAGAAGGCACAUCGGCCCUGAGCGCAGCCAAGCUGUUGGUGAGGAAGUGGACAAGCUUUUACCCGCUAAAAUAAUCCGAAAAGUCCAAUACCCGAUCUGGUUGUCUAACUCGGUCAUGGUCAAGAAGGAUACGGGGGCUUGGAGAAUGUGCGUCGAUUUUACCGACCUCAACAAAGCCUGCUCCAAGGAUUGCUACCCCUUGCCCAAAGUCGAUACUUUGGUAGACUCAGCAAUGGGCUACGAGAUCCUCUGUUUCUGGGAUGCAUUCAAAGGCUAUCACCAAAUUGGGAUGAGUCAAGAAAACCAGGAGAAAACGGCCUUCUACACCGACCGCGGCACGUACUGUUAUACUACCAUGCCAUUCGGGUUGAAGAAUGCCGGAGCCACUUAUCAACGCUUGGUCAACCAAGCAUUCAAGUCUCAAAUCGGCCGGAAUGUUGAGGCCUAUGUAGAUGACAUCCUCCUCAAAAGCCAGACGAACUCCACCUUCCUGGCCGACUUGAAGGAGGUCCUUGACAUCCUGCGGAAGGUGAAAAUGAUGCUGAACCCCAAGAAAUGUGUUUUUGGGGUCACCUCGGGGAAAUUUCUAGGUUACCUCGUCUCAAGGCGAGGUAUCGAAGCAAAUCCGGAUAAGGUGCGAGCCAUCCAGGAGAUGUCUCCACCCCGGUGCGUCCGCGAUGUCCAAAGGCUGACAGGGCGAUUAGCCGCCCUGAAUCGGUUCUUAUCGCAGUCGGCAGCUAAAGCACUGCCCUUUUUCAAAGUGUUGAAGAAAGCUGACCAUUUCUCCUGGACGGAAGAGUGUCAACAGGCGUUUGAGCAGUUGAAGGAUUACCUUCACUACCUUCCAACGCUCACCUCACCUCGUCCGGGGGACAAAUUAAUCUUAUACCUUUCUGCUGCGGCCGAAGCGGUGAGUGCCGUGCUGAUAAGGAAGGAAGGGGUCCAAAUGCCCGUCUACUACGUUAGCCGAGUCCUCCGAGGUCCAGAGACCAGGUACACACAAGCAGAGAAACUUGUGCUAGCCCUGAUCCACGCCGCCCGCAGACUCAAGCCCUACUUCCUAGCUCACCACGUCUGCUUGAGGACUGAUCAACCACUUCGGCAGAUUUUGACACGACCAGAGGUUUCGGGACGUCUUACCAAAUGGGCCAUUGAGCUGGGGGAGUACGACCUAACUUAUGAGCCUCGCACAGCGAUCAAGGCCCAGGCUCUCGCAGACUUCGUAGCCGAGCUCACCUUUGACGAGGUGCAAGGAUCCGUCCCGGCUGCCACAUCGGCCACAGUUGAUGUGGCCACCACUGGGCUCCAGCGGUGGAUCCUACACGUGGACGGUUCGUCAACAGUGAGGGUAGUGGAGCAGGCUUGCUCCUCGAAGACCCCCAAGGAGAAAUAUGCUAAUAUGCCUUAAGAUUUGACUUCGCUGCUUCAAACAAUGAAGCUGAAUACGAAGCCGUCAUUGCUGGACUGCAGCUAGCUCGCAAGCUCGGGGCCGCACACAUCUUGGUUUAUAGUGAUUCCCAACUCGUCGUGUGCCAGAUAUUAGGUGAGUACGAAGCCAGGGACGAGGUGAUGCAUCGUUACCUCUCCAAGGUCCUCCAGUUGGCGACUCACUUCGAGUCUUUUGAAAUUCAAAGAAUACCGCUAUCGAAAAACAGAAGGGCUGACGCCCUCUCCCGGCUUGCCUCAACCUCUUUCUCUGACCUGAACAAGACGGUUCUCGUUGAAGUUCUAGCCGAACCAGGAUAUGUAGCCGAGGUAGUAUACCCCGUCUACCCUGGGGACACCUGGAUGGGUCCCCUGACUCGAUUUUUCAGCCAGGGUGAGCUCCCCGAAGACCGAGCUGAGUCACGGAAGCUCCAACGAAAAGCAGCACGGUACAUUCUCCGACAAGGCCUUUUAUACAAAAGGUCUUACCUCGGCCCUUAGUUGCGAUGUAUCACGCCCGAGGAAGGCCAGAGAAUCCUCCAAGACAUACAUGAGGGGCUCUGUGGUGCUCACGUCGGCUACAGAAUGCUGGUAAAAAAGGCUUUGUUACUUGGGUAUUUUUGGCCCACUAUGAGGAUAGAUGCCCAGGUCAUGGUCCUUUGCUGCCCCUCCUGCCAGCAUCACGCUCCUGAGCACCACCAGCCGACCAAUUUAAUGAUCCCUAUCACCUCGUCAUGGCCAUUUGAGCAAUGGGGAACGGACAUAAUUGGCCCCUUUCCCAGAGCUCCAGGCAAUUAUACCUACGUGGUGGUAGCAGUGGACUACUUCACCAAAUGGGUCGAAGCUGAACCCCUAAAAAAUAUCACUGGUGCGGCAGUCCAGAAAUUCUUCUGGAAGAAUGUGGUUUGCCGCUUCGGCCUACCCCGGGUGAUCAUCUCGGAUAAUGGCCGACAGUUCGCCGAUAAUCCUUUCAAGGCCUGGUGUGAGAACCUCGGGGUCAAACAGCAUUUCACUUCGGUGGGACACCCCCAAGCCAACGGACAAGCCGAAAACUUCAAUCGCACGCUCCUCCAUGGCCUCAAGACCAGGCUCCACCAGGCUGGAUCGUUUUGGAUGGAAGAGCUCCCCAGUGUGCUGUGGUCCUACCGAACUACGCCGAGAUCAGCAACCCAGGAAACCCCGUUUUCCUUAACCUACGGGUCAGAAGCUGUUGUUCCAGCCGAAUUCAUCACCCCGAGUCCACGAAUGGCCGCAUAUGCUGCCGAAGUCAAUGAAGAAGAACGGCGAGUUGACCUCGACCUCGUCGAAGAGAAGCGUGAUAUGGCCGCGGCCAAAGUUGCUGUUUACAAAAAUAUCGUAGCUGGCUACUACAACGCUCGGGUUAAACAUUUGCGGUUCAGUCCGGGAGACCUGGUGCUCAGGAAGAACUCAGUCAGCCGGGCUGAACCUCAGGGUAAACUAACCCCCAAGUGGGAGGGACCAUACCGUGUUGUUGAGUCCAGCCAAAAUGGAUAUUGUAAAUUGGCAUACCGAGAUGGGUCUCUGAGUGCCCCGAACUUGGCAUGCUGAAAAUCUUAAGUUGUACUACCCUUGAGGGUAUGUGCUUUUAAUCUUGAGUUAUUUCACACUUAUUUUCAUUUCAUUAUAAGUGAAAAAUAAGGGGACAAAGUAGCAGUAAAGAGGAAAACCGAAUUUAAUUAAAAAGAAAGCAAGAAUAUGAACUCAAUUCCAUUGAAUUACAUAAAAGUAGAAAGCCGAGGUCACCUUUAAUUAGGAAGAAAGCAAGAAUAUAAACUCAAUUCCAUUGAAUUACAUAAAAGUAGAAAGCCGAGGUCACCUUUGACCUCGGCCUACAAUGACAAAAAAAAAAACAAGUGCCUCUAGGCACUCCCUACCCUGACAUCCUGGCCCCCCGUGGUCGCGCCACCCGUUUCGGCACCCUGUCCACCCUCAGCUCCUCCACCGGCCUGGUCGUCUUCAGUACCAUCUAGUUCAAACUCCUGGAGCCAUUUGUUGAAUUCGGCUCGGACUUCGGUUAGGUCUUUCUCAGUCCGGAUGCCCUCAGCCAUGCUGUCGCAUAGCUCCUUGGCAUCCUCGUUAUAGUGCGAAGUGCUCUGAAGGGACUCCAGUUGUUCAGAGGGAAGAAAGGAUGCCGCGUCAUUAAUAGCCGACGUGUACCCGAACAUGAAGCUUGGCCGGGUGAGCUCGCCGAGGUCACGGAUGAAGGACUCUGACGUCCGGAAGGCUUCCACAGCAGUGACCCCGGCCUUGUCCAUGGCCUCCCUGUUUGACUGUUCUUCUUGGGCCCUCCUUUUUUUCUCCUCAUCAAGAGCAGUCACCAGGGAAUUGUUCGCGACCUCGGCCCUUUUGUUAGCCGCCUUGGCCUUGUCACGCUCCAACUCGGUUGCCUUCAGUUUUUCUUCCAACUCGGCAAUUCUCUUCUGGAGCUCGGCAGGAGGCUCAUAGUUUUCCAUGAACUUUCCAUACCGUUGAAUCAUCUCGACAAAAAAAGCCGUGGUAGAGGCCCAUGACACCGAGGCGCUCUGCAUCAACUCCCCUGCGGAGAGCUUCCUAGCAUAAGUGCUAUCUCGUGGCAGCACUGAAUGCACCAAGAGCUCCUGAGCGACCAAAGGGUUCUUGCAGCGAUCGUUGAAAUUAAUCUCCCACUCUGGACACCAGUGUGAUCCGGGGUGUCUCUUGUCCUCCUCAGCUGCCUUGAAAGGCACAUGAUGGAGUUUGAACAAAGAUGACCCCGUGACGGGGUUCUCCGGAAAUAUGGUCACACCCUGACCCCGGGGGGGAGUGGCAAUCGUGACCCAGCGAGAAGGGAUUCCCACCGGAAUUGCCGAGGCUCGGGAACCUCCCGGAGUGGCCGAGGUGUGCGAGCCCUCGCCCACGAUCACCACGGCAGGCUCGCGGUCGCCCGACGCCGCGGUGGUUUUCUUAGCCGGCCUGGAAGAGGACCCUGCAGUGUCCUUGCGCUUUUUGGGAGCUCUUUUGACCACCUCGACAUCUCCCGAGGUUAUCAGGUCGAAAAUCUUCGUCACUGCAAAGUAGGAGACGAAGUCAGUUAGAAUUCAAGAGGGAUAAACUAAAAGGGAAGAAAUGGAAAAAUACAAAGUCUGUGAAGCCUAGUCGAGAGUAAGACAGGCUGGUCAGAGCUCGUCAAGGCUCAACUGAUCCCGCCUUCCACGAGCACCACUUCGGGAAAAUCCCAGCAGUUUAUCCUGAGGCCCGACCCCGUUAACUUCUGGAAGUUACGCUCUUCUAACUUCCCUGGAGAUAUCUCCUUGAUCGAGGUGGGAGGCCUCCACCAGAAUCCGCGAGGGAAGUCAUCGGCCGAGACGAAGAAGAAGUUUUGCUUCCACUCCUUUAUUGAGUUCGGAGCAUCAACCACCAACUUCGGAACUUUGUUUCCGAAGUAGAACCAUCCUUUUUCACUUCUGCUGUUCUUGAGUGAGUAACAGCGGCGAAAGAGGUUGACCUAAGGUUGUAUCUCCUGAUGUCGGCAAAGUAGCUGGAAGCCAACGAGAAUGCGAAUAGCGUUAGGGGUGAGUUGAGUGAUUCUCACCCCCCAGUACCUCAGGCAGUCCCGAAGAAACCUCGUCGUGGGCACUCUGAGUCCGGCCUCCAGCUGUUCCUGAUAGAUAGUCACCUUGCCCUUUGGUGGCAGUGCGGCUGACUGAUGCGGUUGGGGUAUGUAAAUACUAUAAUCCCUUCUCCAGGGAUACCUGCGGACCACCUCGGCUAUUGAGGCUUGUCCCAUACCACUACUGAAGAACGGCAUCUGGCCGUAGUCGAGAGUUGCCACGUUUGGAGGAGUGGAAGGUUCUUGUACUCCCUCGUCUCUAGGGAUCUCAAUCCCGAGGUCAUCGUUGUAUAGGACCUCGGGCUGGACCUCGAUCUCCUCGGGCUGCACCUCAACCGCCUCAGCUCGGCGUGAUGCCUCGGCACCUCCACCCUCAGCUUGGUGAGAUGCCUCAGCACCUCCGCCCUCGGACGCGGUCCUUUCCUGGGAGGGGUCAGGCCUCUCUGCCUCAGUGAGGUCAGGUCUCACUGUCUCUUUGUGCGUACGAGCUGUUCUAGCCAUUGUAUCAGAAGGGGAAGAAGUGAACUUACUUAGAAUCUGCGACUGGAAGAAGAUGCCGAAGUAGACGUGGUUUAGAAAGGUUGCCGAAGUGAAAAGAGAAAGAAACAGAGUUCUGGGGUGAUUCUUGAUUUUUGGUGAAGAGUAAAACGGUGAAAAAAGACCACUAUUUAUAGGCCACCAGGGUGAAACCCAAGAGACGGCACCCUCUCUCUUCAUUAAUGGGAGGACUGUUCGUCUGCCAACACAGCUGACAGCCGUCCCUUCAGUUAUCACUCAGUCCCAUCUAUGCGGUCAUGACGUGUCCGUGUUCCGUGUUUUAUACGCUUCUCAGCUUCGGGAAGUAACGACCACGGCGGAUGCCCAUCUCGCCCUUCUCAAAGCUUGGGGGGCUUAGUGAGGAGGGCCAUUUAGGCUCGGAGCGCCCGAGGCCUAGUUCCCCAUCAUUUCCUGAAGUGCCGCCUCGGGUAUUAUCCUGGAAGGCGAUCGCGGCCCAUUUACCACCUCGGCUACAAUGUCAAGUCGUAACACCGAGGUGGACAUUGAAUGACAACUACGAAAAGGGGAGAUGUGAUCUCUGACACCUGAGCAAAGGCUGCUCUGACCCGCCGCCUGAAUCUGACAGAAUGUCCCAUCACGUCUCUUCAUGGAGACCGGUCAAGUCCACCUGAUCCACUGACUAUCUCAGAUCUUUUGGGACCCGUGCAAACAUCUCCUCUCUCCUAUCGGUCCCCUAUAAAUACACAAUAUUUCUACUGAAAAAGGGGAUGACCAAUUUCUGGUAAAACACACUCCACUCAUUACUUACUUCUCUAUAUCCGAACUGACUUAAGUUUCGGAGUUAUACCGGGGGAUCCAGCCCCUUUUCUUAUUCAAGCAGGUGACUUCGUCCAAGAGAGUUGCCCAAGGUAAAGAUAUUCUUCGAAUUGAGGUGACUCACUCCUGCGGGUCGAAAAUCACCUCUUCAAAUGGUAGAAAGUUUUCUUAAGAACCAAGAACAGCAUUAGUAUUCCCUCUGCUUCCAAAAACUUGUGUAUUAAAUAGAUUAAUGAAUUGUUUAACAUGCUCAUCUACUUGAAAAUGCACAAUACCCAUAACCCACUGAAAUUUUUGCAGGAAAAGGGAAAGAGAAUCUGUGUUUGAGAGCUUCAUGAAGAUGUUGAAGAAUAAGAAUAAAAGCCCAAUGCGAGGAUGUUUUCAAGUUUUUCUAUGUCCACUUUAAUUUGUAAAUUGAAUUUUACAACUCAAUUAAUUCCUUGUUUGUGAGGUACGUAUUGUUUUACGUACCAUGCCGUACAUGUUUGUAAGGAUUUCUAUCCUAUUGGCAAAAGUCGGUUCCAUACAAUUAAUCAAUUCAUUUCACUUCUAUUGGCUCUACUAUUUAUGCAUGUUACGACACUCUUUCCCUUAUAUUUUGCCUUUAAUAUUAUGAGUCAAUAGUAAUAAUGGGCCUUUUUCUUAAAAUUAUACUAUUAUACAUAGGUAGUUUGGUCUAACGCUAAAUUCAUGUUUGUCUUUCUUUUAUUCCCUUUACAUCUCAAAGUAUACUAUAGUUUGUAAUCAUUGUGGUGAUGAUAUUACCAGCUGGUACUUAUAGUUUAAGGCAGAGACAUGAUAUUAACAACUAUCUCAUUGAAACAUAAGUCAAAAUCAUGACAAGUGUGAGUCUUGGUUAAUGCACAAUUUGUUAGUGGAAUUUAUAUUUAUAAAACUCAAAAAAAAUUUUUGACAAUGCUAUUACUAAUUAAUUAAGGACUUCAUUGCUAUAAUUUAUCGCUUACUAGUUUAAACUAUAAAUGAUCUCAAUACUUUUCUCCAUGAUGUCGAUUUCUUUAGACUACGAAAGGGAAAAAUUAGUGACAUAUCCCUUACUGAUUACAACAUCAGCAAAAAUUAGUUAUAAACUUUUCCGGUGGUUUUAAAUCCCUCGGGCACUAAGGUUUUUUGCACAUCGAGUGAAUUAAGGAACAUAGGCAAUUCGUUCUGCAUACCAAGUCCUUGUUUAAGAUGCACGUACUAAAAUGCAUCCACUUCAUUAAUUUGGAAAAUUGCCAUAGUUUUUUUUAAGCAUUUUGAUUUUUUACAUGAUUCAAAAUUUUCUUAUUGGAUACAAUCACUUUGUGUCAAGAACACAUUUUCAAUCAUCUUUUUUAUCUUCUCAAUAAGAAAAUAAAAAUUUAUUCAUGCUUUUCUAACAUAUCCAAUCAUUGAUCUGAAAAAUAAAGAAUUAAAAAAAAAAGACAUUUUCAAUCAUUGCUUACAGGGCAACUUCCCCAUGUGAACCUCUUCAAACAAAGCCAAUAAUAUGAAGGAACAUCUAAAUACACUUUUGCCCUAAAGGCUGGUUGCCUUGGGGUCAAAAUUUAACCUUCGGGAGUAUAAUUACCCGCCAAAUUUAUUAUUUUUUAUGGGUAUAUAGUUCCAAUUUUGCCUCCUGUUAAGCUUAUAAAUAUAUUACGACCCAGAAAAUAAAGGAAUCUUGAAUAGUAACAUGUCCAUUGACUUGAGUUGUCAUCAAUUUGGCUACUUCGAUUCCAUGAGGCCAAUCCAAUUCACACUAGCUAGAGAAAAUGGUGAUAAAGGCACUUAGAAAUUUAUAUGUAAUAUUGAUUGGUAGUAACUGAUAAGUAUAUAUUUUACGUGUUUUAAAUAUGUUUUAUUAGUUAGUUUUGGUGUGUUUUAACUACUUUUAUAACUAAUUAACUAGGAAUCUAGUGAAAAUAUGCAUUUUGUGGUUUGAAGUGUGAAAAUUGUAUUUCUAUGGAUUUUAAUGGUGAAAACUUCAUGUUUUUGUAGGUUUAAUGAUUCAAUCAUCAAAUGACAUGAUUUGAGAAGAUAAUUAGAUGAUUGAUGAUGUUUUGAAGUGAUAAAAAGAGAAUACAAAGUGCAAGAGAGGAAAUGCAAUCAAGAAUAAAAGAAGAAAAUUUUUGUAGCUUUGACAUAUUGUGGUAUUUUGGCAAUAUAUUGAGCUACAAUGAUUGGAUUAAGGUGAUUCUUAAACCAUUUGAAGCUAAGAUAUAGAUCUACAUUUGGUAUGAAGGCAUCGAAACCCAUGUCAGUCAUUUUCCUUGUCAAAAUGUUGAAAUACAGAAGUGCAACUCUGUUCUCGAAAGCUAAAACAGAGCUCUGGCUAGUCGAGGGUAUUUUCAUCAUUUCUUAGUCCACAGAGCUCCAAAUGAGAUGAUUCUUAAGGCAUUAGAACCCUAACUCAAAGAGCUACAACUUUCAUAUUUUGUACAAGAGUUAGUUCGGCCUCCAUCAUUCAGAAAAUAGUAGUUGAAGUGGUGCCAAAUGCAUAGAAGUGAAAACGCGAGCUAUCAAUACUCGACCUGAAGUCGCGUAUUCCUGAGGUCAUGCAUUCUCUUCUAUUUUCUGCAACUUGCCCUGCUUUCACAUAAUUUUUUCAUCUCAAUUCCAACUAUCAAUUUCGGCUAUAUCUGAUCAAGAAAAGUGUGGAAAGUUUGAAAGACAACUCAUAGGAGUUUCAAGAGUCAAAAAUUACAAUUAGAAACAACUCAUUUGGCUCUUGAAUCCUCUAUAAAUAGAGGCCUUUGAAGAACAUUUUCACAACUUUGGAAGGUUAGAGAAACUCCACAAAAACAUAGUCUUCACUAGAAUUUCCUUAGUUCAUUAGUUAGGGUAGUAUAGUAUAGUUAGUGUAGCUUUUCCUUCUUGUAUUUAUAGUUAGGUUUGAAUGAAGAUUCAGGAGCAAAGAUAGAGAGGUUGAUCUCAUGUGACAAGGGUGAUAUCUCUUCUACUACUUUCUCUUUUGUAUUUGAUUUCAUAUUUAACUAUACUACAAAUUUGGCUUUGUUUUUUUUUUUUAUCAUGUUUAGUUAAAGUUUAUGCCUAGAGUAUGGAUGACCUUUCUAUAUCUUGUUUGUGAUAUUUAACUGGUUAUUUGAUGAUGUUAUUUUUGAGCAAGUUAUUUAUCACUUUUGCUUUUCUAAUCGUGAUUAACUGGCCAUUAGUUGUGAUUAUCUAAAAGUGUUAAGUUUGUAAUGAGAAUUGGAGUUUAACACUAGUUCAAGGAAGUGAUAAAUUUAGGGAGUUCACUCAUGAGAGUAGAGGAACACCUUUGUGACCUAAGUGACUUGUUUCAUAUAAUUUCAUAGAAAAAAUGAACUUGUAAUUAAUUUCAUAACCACGAGAGUAAGUAUGGUUUAGCUAUAUGUAUAGUUGAUUCACUACGAGAGUAGGUUUCACAUACAUUAGAAAAUUACAUCAUAACUAGUCAAGAUAAUAUCAUUCAUUUAAUCAGUAAUCUCAUUUGCAUGAGUAGUAAGGCAUUCCAUAUCUCUAGGAGGUUUUUAGUAUUAUUUUCAUUACUUUUAUGUUUAUGGUAGUCUAGAUAAUAAUGGAGUUCAAAAACUACUAGUAAUUGAAAAUUUUCCCUGUGGGAUCGACCUUUAAUACCCUAUACUCGCUCUCGACUCGUAUACUUGCGAAAAAUCACGUGUGCGGUAUUUAGAAUUUAUAAAUGUAAAACUUGACUGUAGAUGAACUAAUUGAUAUAUGUAUACCCCGCACUCGUCAGUAACCAGCUUGUAUUGAUCCCAUUAUUGUGGAUAAUUGUGCUCUUAUGAAAAAAAAUUAUAAAAAAAUUAGCAAAAUUUAUGAUAACAAAUUAAAUUUAUUCAUACAAAUCAGUGAAAGAAGUAGAAUUUUAAAGACCAUGAUGAAAUUAAUACUUUCAAGGGCUCUAUUAGGAAGACUUCACUUGUUGGUGAAACUACACUAGCACAGUUAUAUGCACAUUUACUGUUUUGGUAUCUAAUUUCCUUGCCUUAAGUUGGGUGCAGAUGUUUAUAUUACAAAUAGAUGGUAUCAUAAAAUUGUUGUAUUCACGUUUGUUCUUUUUUUUUCUUCCUUAAGUUUUUUUCUUUAUUCUCGUGACUUCAAAAAUACGAACUCAAGAAAUUGGCUGCUUAAUCAAUAUGUCAUACAGGCUUCGCUAGUGAGGUAUAACUUCACAACUAGAGUCAAUAGAAAUUAUCAAAUGAUUUUUUAACAUCCAAAUUAAGCAAUAAAUUUUGUUUUCAUUUUAUGACAUAUAAUAGUACUACUUCAUGAGAGAUUUUAUAGUUUCUUUUAGGUAUCAUACCUACAAGUGAUAUUUGUCAUUGGAUAGUGACAGAAGUGUUAAUGAUUGUAAGAUUAAAUAUUGUUAAAUAUUGAAAUUUAAACUAUUUAUCUUUAUUGAAAGAUACAAGUUAAAGAAUCGUUCAAGGGGGCAAUUUUCCAUCUUGUCUUUUUGAAAAAACGCUAUCACAUUGUAUAGGCAUGAUAGGUUCAAAUUUGUCAUUAAAUUUAUGAUUGAUUUCCCUUUUAUUCAAGCCAAAUAUUGUUUUAAUUAUCAAAUUCUACUUAUAUUUGGUUAAUUGUACUAAUUGUAGGGCGGUAGAGCAAAAGUUGCUAAAAAUAGGUGAUUUUCUGCAAAUUGGUUGUCAAGGCUGAAGGAUUUGGGAUUCGCAUGUUCAAGGCCUGUUUCCAAGUUUGAUUCAAACUCUGGACAGUUUUAGAGGAAGAUUUGGAAGAUUUGAAAUUUCAUUAUUAGUUUUAUGGUUGAAUUAGGAAUCUUGGAAUAAUUUCUUUUGUGAUUUAUUUUUCUAUUUAGGAGACUAGUUGUUAUUUAGUAGUAGACUUCAAUUAGAAAACAAAGAGAAAAAGAAGGCCGGAAUCCCGCUUGAUUAAUACCUUGGCCAGGGAACAAUCUCGGUGGGGAGGACGGCCACUUAGCCUCUCAAUUCAUCUUGCUUUUCGUUAGUUUGAGAGGAAAACCAAUUGCAACUAGAUUCAAUGGAGUCUGGCAGAAUUUCUUCUAGGAUGCGUAGCUAAAUCCUCAAUUUUUAGUCGAAGGUCAAUUUGAAAAUUCGGUUCCAAAUAUCUGUGAAAUCGAAUUAUUUUACUUAUUUCUUUUAUUUAUUGGUAUUCGCACGUUUUCUGAUUUAACUUUUUAUGAUUGUUUUGUUAUUUGAAUGUCAAGGGUCCGAUAUUCGAAUUAACUUAAUAAUCUACUGCCAAAUUAACCGGUUAAAUCCGUAAUUGUUUGAUUGAUUAAUAUCAGUGGCGACUAGCGUGAUUGGUCCCAUGUUAGGAAAACGUCUGAUCUAAUUUAAACAAACCGUCGUAGCGUGUUUGUUGAUUAGGGUUGGACUUUUCUAAUUCUUAAUUCAAUUGAGAAAUUAAAUCUCCCGGUCGUACCUAAGAUUAUUUUUUUGUUAGCGAAAUAGUUAAUGGUCGUACCUUGACUAUCGAAAAAGUAAGGAAGAGUUGAUUGUUUAUCGCGUGUACGACAACUAUAAUCAAUCUAUUAAUGAGUAAUUGAAUUAUCUUUGCAUCAGUAAUCAGUUGAAUGGACCGUGUCUGAAAAGUUGUACCUUUGGCUAGAGUCUUAUCUGUUGUUGAUUCAUUCAUAUCUAUCUUCAUGCGUUGUUUUAAUUUAGUUAAUUAGUUAUUUUUAUAAAAACCCCUCAUCUCUGGACUCUAAAAGAAAUAAAUUAUUUCUAGUUCCUGUGGAUUCGAUCCUACUCACCGCUAUAUACAAAAUUUGUAUUUUUUUGAAUAAAUAAUUAUUAUUACACAGGCUUGACACCUGUCAAGGCAAAAUUUCCUUAACUUCAUCAUCUGUAGACGUAAACUUUCUACGGGUGAUAUAAUAUAAGGAAAUUUUGCCUAUACGAUGUGAUAGCAUUUUUUCAAAAAAGACAAGAUGGAAAAUUGCUCCCUUGAACGGAAAAAAUCAUGAUCUUUCCUCAAACUAGUCUACUAGUCAAUUCUUUACAAAAGAAUACUCGCUCCUAAACAUAGCCUGUUCAUCUACACUGUCCCGCAGAAUUCUAGAAAGUUAGGCAAAACUAGACAAGUUGACAGGUAUAAUCAUACCCAAGAUCAGGAACAAGCAGUUGCACAUUUCAAAAUUCGCUGCUGCAACAGCUAAUUUGAUGACUUACAACACUACACGGUCAAACUUUGAAUGGCAAUGGAUCUUUUGUUGUACGUCAUGAUGUAAUUUUCAUGUUACAUACAUUAAUAGGUUGAUAUCUAUAUUCUUUAAAUUAUCAUGAUAAUACCCUUAAUUAGAUUUAACUGAUAAAAAGAACACGUGUUAAUAUACAAAAGUGUGUAACGUGAAUGUUACAUUACUGUAUUGCAGAAGACCUAUAGUCUCUUCAUAUCUCUUCCUGCACGUAUCAAUUCGUUUCCUCUAGAUAAUAAUCUCCCAACUCGUUUCUUUACAAAUGCACCUUUUAUGUUUUAUUACCUCCAAAAGCCUUUACAGGGUCUUUACCCUAAAAAUCAAUUCACCGACUCGCAUUUGAUGUCAGAAAUUCUUAAGACGAAUUCUACUUUACUCAAAGAUUGACUGUUAAUAAUGAGACAGCGACCAUUUUGUAUUAUUAGACCGUCCUUCUUGAUAGGUAAAAGAAAUAGAGAGGAAAGUGGGUCCGUAUAUGGUCUUUUAUUCAUAGAUAAUACAACAUUACGCCAUCGAGCAUUCACACAAUAUUUCAAAGUCAUAGCAUGCCUAAGGCCCUGUUUGAUAGCUCAAUUUCGUAAUUAAAUUUAAUAGAUUCAAAUUUUAACACAUUUAAAUCAUUUGAUAACAAAAAAUUGAAUAUUUAAAUUAAUUAAGUAACACUGAACUUUCUAAACAAAACUUGCUUUCAAAAUUAAGUGAUAAGUUAUUCACUUAUCUUUGAAUGUGAUAUGCACUCAAAUAUAUUAAAUUUAAUAAUUUAAUGGAUUCAGAUUUCAGAUUUCAGUUUUAUUACACACCCUAAGUUGCAAAAUAAUACCAAAACUUGUUAUUAUAUAGCUUGAGAUUCAAAAAUUUAGAGCAUAAUUCUCAACCUAACACAAUCGAAUAAUGAAUAUUCACGAUUGUUUCAAAGUACAAUUUGAGGACAACCCAUUCCAACGCGUACACGAUUUUUAACUUUUCUAAAGUUGUUGAGAGCUGUUAAAAGAGAUUUACCAUGUUUACAUCUUCCAAGUCUUGGAAGUGAAAAAUGAAGCCACUGAGUGCUAUAAAAAGGGGGCUAGAGGCUGCCUAGAAGCAUAUCAGCCUAAAACAAGAAUUUGUAGUAACAAUGGGGAGCAAAGCAAAAGCAACGGGGUCUAGGCUGACUCCUCUUCUUACCACUGUUUUAGUGGUAUUUGUCGCCCUUGGCUUGCCCUUGGAAACUGCAGCUGAUUAUUACAAGUAUUCAUCUCCUCCUCCUCCUCCUUACCACUAUUCUUCACCACCACCUCCAGUGUAUUCACCUCCACCAACCCCUGCUUAUAAGUUACCCCCACCAUCUCCUCCAGUUUACAAGUCCUCACCACCACCUUACCACUACUCACCACCUCCGGUGUAUUUACCUCCACCAUCUCCAGUUUACAAGUCACCACCACUACCCCCUCCGGUAUACAACUCCCCGCCUCCACCAGUGUACAAAUACAAGUCCCCACCACCACCUCCUCCAGUUUACAAAUCUCCAUCGCCACCAGUUUACAAAUACAAGUCACUCCCACCACCUCCUCCGGUAUACAAGUCUCCUCCGCCACCUGUUUACGAGUACAAGUCUCCUCCACCACCUCCUCCAGUGUACAAGUCCCCACCACCUCCAGUUUACAAGUACAACUCACCUCCACCUCCUCCCCCAGUUUACCUGUCUCCACCUCCACCCUAUCAUCACUACUACGGUUCUCCUUCUCCUCACCACUACUAAGCAAGUGCAUAAGUUUUGAGGUAAUAAUACCUAUCCAAAACUUUAUCAACACAAACUGCCAUGUAUAUUAUCAUGCUAAGGACGUACACUUGAUCCAUGAAAAUGACUAGUAGAAGAUUUUUUUUAAGAACCAAAGAAAUACAUUAUUUUUUCGGUCUGUUUUCAAGAAUUUGAGCAGUAUACAGAUUAAAGAGUGUUUUUUUUUUUGUAAACUUGCUUGUCAACUUAAAAAUGCACAUAGCUGAAAGCCAACUGAAUAUUUGCAGGCAAAGGAGAAGGCAAUCGGUGUUUGAGACCUUCAAGAAGAUGUAGAAGAAUAAGAAUAAAAGCCCAAUGCGAGGAUGAUUCCAAGUUUCUACGUUACCAUUUCUACAUCUAAAUUGACUUUAGCUCCUGAGUUCCAUGUUUAUGGGGUUUGUACCGUUUUACGUACCAUGCAGUACAUGCUUGCAAGGUUUUCUGUCCUGUUGGCAAACUGCAGGUCCAUAUAAUAAAUGAAUACUAUUUACAUUACGACACUUUUCUCUUUUUCUCUUAUAUUUUGUCUUUAAUAUUGUUGAUCAUUUUUUUUUUAUCAAAAGCAUCAAAUGCUUAGGUAAUUUGGUCUAAUGCUAAUUGUUUUACUUUUAUUUUUCACCUACACCCCUUUUCAACUCAAAGGAUGCUAUAGUUUGUGAUAAUUGUUUAAGACCGAAGCAUGAUACUAAUAAAUAUCUCAUUGAAAGUCAAGGAAACUAACAUUAGGAAAAGUUUAAAUCUUGAUUUGAUGAAACUAUUUAUUCGUGGAAUUUAGAGAUACAAAACUCAAAUUGUGACGGUGUUGUUGCUAAAUUAUUAAGGACAUUAUCACCAUUAUUUUUCCCUGAUCACUAGUUUCAACUGCAAUGAUCUCAAUCUUUUUGUGACUAAUUCUUUCCUUAAUAAUUUAUAAAGACAAAACUCACAAAGAAUAUGUGACUAAUUCUUUCCUUUCGUCUUCUAAAGAAAAUGCCAACUGUUAGUUUAUCAAGGGGAAAAAGGAUCGACAUCAGUUAUUAUUGAAACUAGUAAGGAAUAAAUAAUGGUGAUAAUGUCCUUAAUAAUUUAACAACAGCACCAUCAGAAUUUGACUUUGAGCUUCGGUCUUAAACAAUGAUCACAAACUACAGCAUCCUUUGAGUUGAAAAAGGAAGUAGGUGAAAAGAAAAGUAAAAAAUACAAUUAGCAUUCCCUCAAAUUGUAGAAAGUUAGGUAGCAUUAUAGACAAGUUGAUAGCGGCAAUUUUACAUUUCAAACUUCACCUAUUCAAUAACUAAUUCGAUGGCUUGCUACAUGGUCAAUCUUUGGACCCCUUCCUGCCUCCAGAUAUCCCUUUCCUCAAUCAGGGGCUUCUACAAUUACCAGUUUCAAUUGUAUGGUAUAGUGUAAAUAUCAACAAAUUAGAUGUAGAUGCUAACAUAAUAAAUGUGAAUGCUAAGACAGCAACAUACAAUCGAACCUGCAAUUGUAUGAACCCCAAUCUCGCUUCCUAGUCCACCAUCUUUCUCUAGGUAAUAAUCUCCCUUCUAAUUUAUUCACAAAAUGCACCUUUCAUCACCUCCAAUAGCGUCGACAUGAUCUUUACCCUAGAAGACUAUUCACCGACUCUCAAUUGACGUCAGAAAAUCUAAGAGUAAUUCUACUUUACCCUAAGAUUGAUAUCAACAAGACAAGGACAAUUUAGAAUUAUUACACGCCUCUUCUUAAUAGGAAAAAGAAAUAGAGAAGAAAGUCAGGCCAGGUCUAAUUUCUUUUCAAAGGCAAUACAACAUUACGAAAUCAAGCAUUCAUUCAUACAAAUAUUUCAUAGUCACCGGUUUGCUGAGUAGAAAAAUUUAGACAAAAACUUAAUAUUAUAUUGUUUAAGAGUUAACAAUUUAGAGCUUAAUCUCCUUGUACUUUGGAGUUAACAAUUUAGAGCUUAAUCUCCUUGUACUUUGGACUAAACUUGAACGUGAAAGGAAAUCCCAAAACCAUAUUGGGCAUGAAUUCACACUUAAUAUACCCAAUAAAAGAUGGCGACUGGUGAAAGGCAGUGGAGACUGGUGGAGAGAUUUGAGGAAUAGAAGCAGACGGAAAAGCAACAAAUUUUUGCCGAAAAACGGUCACUUUCAUGGUUAAUUUUGCUACUCUCCAAUUGUACUUGACCAAUUACAACAAUUUCAUGGAGUUUGAUACGUGAAAAGAAUUUUUUAUAAAUUUUAUUUUGAUCCAUAAUGUUAUCUUUACAUAUAUAAAACAUUUUACAAUUUUGAUUUUGGCGCAGCUAACUUUUGGUUAACAAAAAUGCUCAUGUUUAAAAAACCAGAAAUAAAACAAAACAAGAAACAAAAGAAAUAAGAGGGUAGCAUAGACAUUUUGGAUUUUUCCGUUAAUUUGGAUGAUUUCCACCCACGUUCUAAUUUAAUCCAAAACACAAAGGAAUUACGUAGAGGUUUUAAAUAAUGAGGGAGCUUCAUGAUCGAACCCCAAACCACAAGGCGAUUUACUAUAUUUUACUCUUAAAUUUUGGUUUCAUCUCAUAGCAUACAAGAGUUCUAUUUCACUAUCUGUAGACAAAGACUUUCUAUGGUUGAUGUACCAUAGGAAAAAAUCUGCCUAUACAACGUGAUAGCAUUUUUUCAAAAACACAAGAUGGAAAAUUGCCCCUUAAACGGGGAAAUUCAUGAUCUUUCGUCGAACAAAGAAUACUCACGCCUAUUCAAGAUGGAAAAUUGCCCCCUUAAACGUCUAUUUGUCAAUUCUUGAAAAAAGAAUACUCACGCCUAAAACACGGCCUCUUCAUCUGCAGAAUUCUAAAAAGUUAGGUAAACUCUAUAAACAAGUUGAUAGGUACAAUCGUACCCAAGAUCAAGUACAGAUAGUUGUACAUUAACUGCUGCAAUAACUAAUCUGAUGACUUAUAAACAUAUCAUGGUCAAUCGUUGAAUGGUAAUGAGUCUUUUGUUAUGCAUUAGUAUUAGUGUGUACACUCUAAUAGAUUGAUACUUAUACUCUUUAAAUUAUCAUAAUAAUACCCUUAAUUAACUUUAACUCUUAAAAAGAAUACAUGUUAAUACACGAGUGUGUGUAACCUGAAUUGUUACUUAUAAAUUAGUGUGUAAUAGAUAGGGAUGGCAAUGGGGGCGGGUGCCCGCGGGGGGCUCUCGGGGCGGGGGUUGGGGCGGGGGGGAAUUUUUUCCCCCCGUUUAGAAAUGGGGCAGGGGACGGGGGAGUAUACCCCCGCCCCAUCCCCCGCAAAAAAAAAAUUAUAUAUAAUAUGUAAUUUAAUUAGUUAUAAACUUAUGAUAAUGAUAUUAUUAGUUAGAUGUAUUAUAUAAUGUAUAUUAGUGUAUGUAAUAUAAUUAAUAUUAUCAAUUAUAUGAAUAAUUAGACAUGUCUACUAAUAGAAUUUAUGAAUUAGUUAUACUAAAUUUACUAAUACAUUUAUACUAAAUUUCUAAUUACACUUAAUAGAAUAACACUUUUUUCUAAAACAAAAAAGCACAAACACAAUAAUGAAUUAGUGAUUGUAUGAUAGGGUGUAAUUUUACUAUUUAUUUUAUUAUUAAUUUCCCCUAUCACCUGACCUGAUGUGGAUUAAUUGCUGGAUUCUGCUCACUUUUAGUACUUUGUAUUUAUUUCAGGGAGUAGAACGGAAAUUUGAUAACAGGUGCUAAUUUGGCAGAAAAAGAGUCCAGAUGAUAGAGCUUGCCCCAAGGGCAUUUUUGGAAAGGAGAACUUGUGCCCAUCUUGGUAAUUUGGGAGAAAAGGGAAACAGACAAAAUGGGUCUAACAUGGAUUGGAAGCGGCCGCACAGUAGCAGGGAAGAGGGCAGACGUAAAAGCAAUUGCAGGGGGGAAAAGGAGUUUUUUUAGUUUUUAGCUUAGCAUCUGAUUUUCCCUGGGAGACUUUUGUUAAAGAUUUCCUUUUGGCUGAUAUUACGCAUGGCAGAUGGCUUUUAACUUAUUCCUCCAUCUUUGACUUUUCUUCUUUAGCUUGUGGCAGUGGAUUGCUACUUACGAAUGUCAGCACUUAGCCAUUCGUGGCUUUUGAUCUUUUCUUCCUUAGAAAUUCUGAGUAACCUCUUUUCCUUUGUGCGCCAGACGAAGUGAAAACUAUAAACUUUUGUAGUUUUUCUAUUCAUUCAAUAUAUUGAGACGAGUUGGAUUCUACCAAAUUUCAACGGACAUGGCCGCUGGUUUCUCUUCAAUUUUAUAUGGGCUUUGUUCAUCCAACAUGAACUAAUUUCACCACUCUAGUCAAGGAGCAACGAAGGCUCUGAUUUGCCUAAAAAUUGUGAGAUCGUUUUAAUUUAAUCUUUUCCUUUUAUUUAUUGGUAUCCGCACAUUUCUUGAUUGCUAUGCUUAUGGUUAUUUAAUUAAUUGAUUGUCUUGGAUCCAGAUAAUUAAUUGAUCUGAUAGCCUAUUGUCAAUUAGGGCAUUUAAAUCCGUAAUUGUUUAAUUGUCCUGAAAUAGUGACAACUGGCACGAUUAGAUUCGUGCCAGGGGGGAUAUGCGGGCUAAUCUAAAAUAACCCUGGUAGUGUGUUAUUUGGUUAGAAUAGGGCUCCUCUAAUACUAAGGCAAUUGGGGAAUUAAAUUCUACGGGCGUACCUAGGAUUAUUUCUUAAUUAGAGCAGUGAUUAACGGGCGUACCUUGAUCACCGACACAGUAAGGAGGGGUUGACCGUCAUCGCUUGUUUGGCAGUUAUAACCUAUUUAUCAGUAAAUAAUUGGGAUUGCCUUGCAUCAAUGAUCAAUUAGGUGAACCAUUGUUGAAGUUACUUCUUGGUUAGAUCUUUAGUUAAUAUUACCUUGAUUUUGGUGAAUUGCCAUUUGAUUUUUAGUUGCCUACUUUAUUUUAUUUUUAAUUGUUUCCUUGCUUUAAUUGAGUUAGGCCUUUAAUUAUUGUUAUUCUAAGUUUAGUGAAUUGUGGUUUAAUUCCUAAUUAGUUAUUUAUUUUUACUUUCUUAUUUGAAUUUAUUUGCUUGUUAUCAUUCCUACGAAAUCACCCCCCUGUGUUACUUUGGAUUUCUUAAGAAACAAAUAUACCCAAUCCCUGUGGAUACGACCCUACUUGCUCUGUUCACGAAUUCAUAAUUAUUUGUGAAAAGAAAUAACCAUUCCACUCGGGUAUAUCGGAUCAAGCAAAUUCUUCGGGAACAGGGUGAAUCAAGUAACCCAAUGCACACCUAGAGUCCCUGCUCCAGUACUUGGAAUUGGGUUUUGGUCAUUUUAACUGGCAAUUAGGUUUAAUUUUAUUAUUGCACAGGCUGACGACCCUGUCAAUUUUUGGCGCCGUUGCCGGGGACUGGCGUUAUUAUUUGUUUCUUUUUAAAUUCAUUCUUUGUCCUAAUUUUCUGGUUUUCUUCUAGUGUAUGCCUCGAUCUUCUCGUACAGGUAAUUUGAUUUUUGACCCUGAGGUAGAGAAGACCGCAUGUAGAACGAGAAAGGAAACCAGACAGCUCAGAGAAGAGCACUCCAGUGCUACAUCUCAGAGACCCGAGUCAGAAGUUGAACUAACAGAUUCGUUUGGUAACACUUCGAGUGACUCUGACCAGGAGGAAGACACCAUGGCUAAUGCACGAACAUUAAGGGAGUUGGCUGCUCCUGAUUUAACUCAGCAGCCUUUAUGCAUUACUUUCCCCACUUUAAAUGAUAACAUUCCAUUUGAACUAAAAUCUGGUCUGAUUCAGCUUUUACCCUCUUUUCAUGGUUUACCAGGUGAAGAGCCGUAUAAGCAUCUGCAGGAGUUUGAUGUCGUGUGUAAUAGUAUGAAACCCUCGGGAAUCACAGAAGAGCAGAUAAAAAUGAGGGCAUUCCUCUUCUCCUUGAAAGAUUCUGCGAAGGACUGGCUGUACUACCUGUCACCAGGUAGCAUCACCACGUGGGACCAAUUGAAGAAAAAAUUUUUGGAUAAAUAUUUUCCUGCGUCCAGGGCUGCAAGUCUAAGGAAAGAAAUUUGUGGGAUCAAGCAGCAUCCAGGGAAGUCACUUUAUGAGUAUUGGGAACGGUAUAAGAACUUGUUGCGCAGGUGCCCCCAACACCAAAUAAGUGAGCAAUUGAUCAUACAGUAUUUUUAUGAGGGGCUCCUUUUUAGAGACAGGAGCAUCAUUGAUGCCAGGGGGGAGGGUUGGGAUGGGUGGUACGGGGGGAGGGAGUGUAAGCAAGAGGUCUCGGGUUCGAGUCCUCCCGCUUACACACAAAAAAAAAGAUGCUGCAAGUGGAGGGGCACUGGUAAACAAAACCCCUCAGGAAGCACGGGAGUUAAUAGAGGGGAUGGCAGAGAAUUCACAACAAUUCAGUACAAGAGAGGAUGUCCCAAUACGUAAGGUGAAUGAGGUAGAGACACCCUCUAUGCAGCAGCAGCUAACUGAGUUGACCGCGUUUGUUAGGCAACUGGCUGUGAGAAAUGCAUCACAAGCCAGGGUGUGCGGGAUUUGCACUGGUAUGGGUCAUUCUGCAGACAUGUGCCCAAUGAUUCAGGAAGAAACUGCAGAACAGGUGAACAUGGCUGACCACGCGCCCGCGCCAAGGAAGCAGUACGACCCUUACUCAAGCACCUACAACCCCGGGUGGAGAGAUCAUCCCAACCUCAGUUAUGGAGAAAAUAGGCAGCCCAACAUUACACCGAACAGGCAGUCUAACUUUGUGCCAAAUAGGCCACCAGGGUACCAGCAGCAAUAUCAACCCCGACCACCUCCGUCCCCAAGCUCUGGCCCAUCUUUGGAGGAGAUGAUGAAACAAAUGAUGACAACUAUGGCUCAAAAUCAGCAAAUGACGGAGGCAACCAUUAUGCAAAAUCAGCAAAGGACGGACUCCGAAAUGAAGGAUAUAAGGAAUCAGAUAAGUCAAAUGGUCACAACAAUCAACCGUUUGGAUUCCCAGAACCAAGGUAAAUUGCCAUUUCAGCCCGAAUUAAAUUCGAAGAACGUGAGCGCAAUGACCCUAAGGAGCGGGAAAGAAAUUCAGGGGUCUGAACCUGUGAUCCCUAAGGAUAAGGAUGAGGAAAAGAUCGAAAAUGAGCUUGAAAGGGAGGACAGCAAUGGUGCAGAUCUAAAGGUACUUCCUGACCCAAUAAUUACAGCUAAAACUAACCCGCCUCCUUUUCCUAGCAGGUUGGAAAAAUCGAAAAAAGAGGAUAAGGAGAAGGAGAUCUUGGAGGUUUUUCGCAAGGUUGAGAUAAAUAUCCCCCUCUUAGACGCAAUCAGACAAGUACCAAAAUAUGCCAAGUUCCUAAGGGACUUGUGUGUCAACCGAAGGCAGUUGAGGGAAGAUGAACGGGUUAUUGUUGGGGAGAAUGUGUCAGCAGUCCUGCAGAGAAAGCUCCCACCAAAGUGCGGGGACCCAGGUAUGUUUACUAUUCCCUGUAGGAUAGGUAAUACUGUGAUAGAAGGGCCAUGUUGGAUCUGGGAGCAUCAAUUAAUCUCAUACCUAAAUCUAUCUAUGCUUCUCUAAAAUUAGGUCCAUUAAAAGAAACUGGAAUAAUCAUUCAAUUAGUUGACCGAACUAAUGCAUAUCCUGAUGGGUUGGUUGAAGAUGUGUUGGUAAAAGUUAAUGAUUUGAUGUUUCCAGCUGAUUUUUAUGUACUUGAUAUGGAUGAUGAUCACUCCCCUGAUCCCUCACCUCUGUUAUUGGGUAGACCCUUUAUGAGCACAGCACAGACGAAAAUUGAUGUUAAUAAGGGUAUCUUGUUCAUGGAGUUUGAUGGGAAAAUUGUGCAUUUCAAUAUCUUUGAUACUAUGAAAUAUCCCUCAAACUCCAACUUUAGCACAGUUUUCUCUGUGAGUGCUAUUGACCCUGUAGUGCAGGAAGUGUUUGAAACUGAUGGCAGGGAUGAGUUGGAGGUGGCUUUGACCAAGCACCUCGAGUUGGAGACAACUCCUGAGGUGGAAUGGAGCGAGGACCUAAAAUGCACAAUAGGUGCAUUACACUCAUUGCAGUCCACCACGAAAAGGUAUGAAGUCUUACCUAUUUUUACUCCCGAACCUCACCAGAGGGUGUUGCCAUCUGUGGUGCAGGCACCUGUACUAGAAUUUAAACCUCUAUCAGAGCACCUGAAAUAUGCAUAUCUGGGUGAUAAUGAGACACUCCCGGUGAUUAUCUCAUCGACACUGUCAAAAAUCCAGGAGGAGAAACUGAUCCGGGUCCUUAGAGAGCAUAAAGAGGCGAUAGGUUGGACAAUCGCAGAUAUUAAGGGGAUCAGCUCGGCCAUCUGUAUGCACCGGAUUAGACUAGAAGAGGAUGCCAAACCUGUUAGGCAGGCUCAAAGGAGGCUCAACCCCCUAAUGAUGGAAGUUGUAAAGAAAGAAAUUUUAAAAUUGCUAGAUGUGGGGAUUAUUUUUGCAAUAUCAGAUAGCCCUUGGGUAAGCCCGAUCCAGGUAGUCCCAAAGAAGGCAGGGGUGACGGUGGAGGCAAACCAAACGGGUGAGCUCGUGCCAGUGCGCAAACCCACUGGAUGGAGGCAGUGUAUAGACUACCGUAGGCUAAACGCCGUCACCAAAAAGGACCAUUUCCCUCUCCCUUUCAUUGACCAAAUGGUUGAACGUUUAGCUUGUAGAGCUUAUUAUUGCUUUUUGGAUGGAUUUUCAGGAUACUUUCAGAUAGCAAUUGCUCCAGAGGAUCAAGAGAAGACAACCUUCACGUGCCCGUUCGGGACCUUUGCUUAUAGACGAAUGCCAUUUGCGUUGUGCAAUGCACCUGCAACAUUCCAGAGGUGUAUGGUAAGUAUUUUUUCUGAAUAUGUGGAGAAAAUUAUUGAAGUUUUCAUGGACGAUUUCAGUGUGUAUGGUGAUAGUUUUGAUACGUGUUUAGAUAAUCUGAAAUUGAUCCUGAUAAGGUGUAUAGAGACUAAUCUUGUGCUUAAUUGGGAAAAAUGUCAUUUUAUGGUUGAGCACGGGAUAGUCCUGGGUCAUAUUGUAUCGUCUAAGGGCAUAGAAGUUGACAAGGCUAAAAUAGAUAUUAUUUUUGCAUUACCUUACCUCGCGAGUGUGCGGAAGGUGCGUUCUUUUCUUGGACAUGCAGGUUUUUAUCGAAUGUUCAUCAAGGAUUUUUCAAAAAUUGGAGCCCCGUUAUUCCAACUCCUACAAAAGGAUGUGACCUUCGAAUUCGAUGAUAAGUGUGAGGAAGCCUUCAACAAGUUGAAAGAAUUGUUGACCUCACCCCCAAUUAUCCAGCCCCCUGAUUGGAGUCUACCAUUUGAGAUCAUGUGCGAUGCCAGUGAUCAUGCCGUAGGGGCUGUAUUGGGGCAAAGAGUAGGGAAGGCAGCUCACGUCAUCUACUAUGCAUCCCGAGCAUUGAAUGGAGCCCAAUUGAAUUACUCCACUACUGAAAAGAAGCUUCUUGCAGUUAUUUUUGCUUUAGAAAAAUUCAGGUCAUAUUUGCUAGGUGCUAAAGUAAUUGUAUUUUCUGACCAUGCAGCAUUAAGGUACCUAAUGACCAAGAAAGAUGCCAAACUGAGGCUCAUUAGGUGGAUAUUGCUACUGCAGGAAUUUGACCUGGAGAUACGGGAUAAAAGGGGCUCAGAGAAUUUAGUAGCUGACCAUCUGAGUCGUAUACCCGUUGGAGAGGAUAAUGAACCAUUGAGGGAUGCGUUCCCUGAAGAGCACUUAUUUUCUUUAAAUUCUCAGUUGCCUUUGUAUGCCGAUCUGGUCAAUUAUUUGGUAACUGGUAAUUUUCCUGCAGGUUGACCAAAAUCGAAGAGGGAUAAAUUGAAGAGCGACGCCAAGUAUUUUAUUUGGGACGACCCGUACCUAUGGAAGAGGUGUGCAGAUCAAGUGAUGCGGAGAUGUGUAAGUGAAAUGGAAUUUCAAUCGAUUUUAGCUUUUUGUCAUACUUUUGCCUGUGGAGGUCAUUUGGACCCAAGAGAACUGCUCAUAAGGUUUUAGAAAGUGGAUUUUAUUGGCCUUCAUUGUUUAAGGAUGCCUAUGUGUUUUGUAAGUCAUGUGAUCGCUGUCAAAGGGUAGGUAAUAUACCCCGUAGAGAUCAAAUGCCCCAAGUCCCGUUGAUUUUUAUUGAAAUUUUUGAUGUCUGGGGUAUAGAUUUCAUGGGGUCUUUUCCUACUUCAUUUGGUUUUUUAUAUAUUUUGCUGGCAGUUGAUUAUGUGUCUAAAUGGGUGGAGGCUAAGGCCACUCGAACUAAUGACUCGAAAGUAGUUGCAAAUUUUGUCAGGUCUAAUAUUUUUGUGCGAUUUGGAAUGCCUAGUGCUAUUGUCAGUGAUAGGGGAACGCACUUUUGCAACAAAAUCAUAGCUGCGUUGUUUCGCAAGUAUGGUGUACUCCAAUGGGUCUCAACGUCGUACCACCCUCAGACCAAUGGUCAAGCGGAGGUGUCGAAUCGAGAGAUCAAGUCUAUCUUGGAGAAAAUGGUGCGCCCCGAUAGGAAAGACUCGAGUCAAAGGCUGGAGGACGCACUUUGGGCCUAUCGGACGGCGUACAAGACUCCUAUAGGGAUGUCACCGUACAGGUUGGUAUUUGGGAAGCCGUGUCACCUUCCAGUGGAGUUUGAGCACAAAGCUUUUUGGGCGAUAAAGUAAUGCAACAUGAAUUUAGAGGAAGCCGGUGCCCAACGAAAGUUGGAUUUGCAAGAAUUAGAAGAGAUCCGGAACGAGGCUUACGAAAAUGCACUAAUUUAUAAGGAGAGAAGCCGGAUAUUUCAUGAUCAACAAAUUUCAAGAAAAUCCUUUGAAGUUGGUCAGAAGGUCCUACUAUACCAAUCCAGGCUCAAGCUAUUCCCAGGUAAACUACGUUCCCGUUGGAUUGGACCUUUUCUUGUUACUCAUGUUUUUCCAUAUGGUGCAGUUGAAAUCCGGAGCGCUAAAACAGACAACAAAUUUGUGGUGAAUGGACACCGUCUCAAGCAUUACUACGAAGGAUUUUCAGGUGAAAAGGUGGAGACAAUAAGUCUAGACGCGCCACCGUGUCCUAAUCAGUGACAUUUUACUAUGUCUAGCCAAAGACAUUAAAGACAGGCGCUCAUUGGGAGGCAACCCAAUUGUCCCUUUUAAUUAUUUGUUUGAUUUCGUGUGAUAGUUUAAAUAUGUUUUCCUUGAAUUCGACUGAUUUUGGGUUUCAGUUUUCGUUUUUGCUGAAUUGUAGGUGACCUUCAGUCUUGACGCGCCCGCGUGAUGACAUGCAGGAAGCUCACGAUCAGAAUCGUCUGAAAGCUCUCUUGCCCUUUUGACGCACCCGCGUGAUGACGUGCAGGAAGCUCACGAUCAGAAUCGUCUGAAAGCUCUCUUGCCCUCUUGACGUGCCCGCGUCACGUUCGCAGGAAAGGUACGGGUUUCAAAAAUUUAAAGAAAAAAUAAUAAUAAUAAUAAUUUAAAAUUUUGAAAUUAACUUCCGUAAAAAAAAAAAAGAAGAAAAAAAAUUUCACCGUGGCUUAAAUAGAGCCUAAAGAAGAGAAAAAAGAAACAAUUUCUUUCUUUUUUUUUUCUUUUUCUUCUUUCUUCCUUCUUUCUUUCUUUCUUCUUUCUCUUUUCCCUCUCUCUUCUCCCCUGUUUCUUCUCCCCUGUCCGUCGCCCGUGCGCCCCAUCGCUGCUCCACCUCCACACGCACGCCGACGCUGCGAGCCACCUGCGACCCCAGCGCCAGAUCUGGACCAUCGCCGAAACCCGCAGCCUCCGCCACCUCCACCUGAGCUCUGCCUCGCGCGCAACCCAGCUGCUCUGCGCCCGAAGCUCCACCGCCGCCACAGCCUCCCCACGCAGCUCCCUGCUCACGCGGCCACAAGCCCAUUGGAAACGGGACAGAGACUGCCGCCGAGCCACUUGCCCGCGUGACCGCCGCUGUUUUCCACCACCUCCCUCACGCGAGCUCUUUCCCUCUCAGCAGCAAUCCACUUCACAGCGCACCCGCUGCGCGCCGUCGCAGCCCUCGCAGCUCCAGCCCGUCUGGUCUAGUCCGCCGCGCGCACCAACCACCCACGGACGCUACCCCCAUCGCUAACCCACGCGGCCUCCACUCCAGUCUGUCCGCCGCCGCUGCUCGUGUCUCCCUUGCGCACCUCACGCCACCCGCUACUGUCCCCUUCCGUUUGGUUAGCAUCCACGGUGGAGGUAAUUGGAGGUUAUUUUCUCAAUUGUGUGACUUCCGCCUGUGAUACUGGUUGCAUUAUUUUUGCUGGGAAUUGCUACUUCUUUUGGGUUGGGUUCAACUGUGCAAUUAAUUGGCCAACUGGAGCCAUUUGUUGGGAUUUUGGGUGAGCUGAAAUACUGCAUUUGUGUGUUACAUUGGGAGGUUUAUUGGGUACAUUCUAACCGCUGUUUUCCAUUGUUACUCUCGCUGGGGUGUCUAUUAAAUUGCGAUUGAAGUAUUUUGGAUAUUGCAUGUUGAGAUUGAGGUUUCAUUGAAUUUGGCCUACGUUCUGCCCCCAGUGGUACUGGUGGGAAUAUUUUCAAUUGAAUUUGUUACCUCUAGUUGGUUGGCUACAUUAUUAUGGUCGAAUUCCUAAGUUGUCGUCAUUGCAUUUGUUGAUCUUGAUUUGGGGCAUUAACCGGCCAACUGGAGCCAUCUGUGCGUUUUUAGGCGCUAUUAUUGGUUUCUUCUCCCUUAACUUUGUCAACUAUAUUUGGUUGGGUAUUUGGUUGACUGCCACGGACUUGUAACUGUGUUUUGCUUCUAAUUGACCAGUUGCACAGCAGUUUUUUUUUAAUUGAUAGGGUGGUUAUACCUCUGGAUAUUUGUAUCCACUGGUUUGAGGACAUGGUGAGACCAAAAUCCUCCUCUAGGUCUAGGACCCCUAGAACCUCGCAAUCCCAACCCCAAGCCUCUACUCUAGUCAAUACCCCUAUAAAUCAACCUACUGCUCCCGGUGUCCGAACCUGGUUAGGUAGGGGUAGAGGUGCCCACGUGGCUUCCGCCACUCACUUGGGAGGGCAUUUGGAAUUCACUAGAGCCGCCGAUCAGCGACGCUAUGCUCAAGCUUGUGAGCGGCGUAUCAUUCCGUGCAAAUGCGCGGACCACAUUACUAUGGUUUUUCUGGGGAUCCAAGGGGAGGUUGAGCGCAUGUACACCGCCAUUGGAUGGCGCCCCUAUCUGGAUAUUUUCCAGCCAGCCUUUGUCGAGUUGACUAGAGAGUUUUACACCACUUUUAAGUUUGAAUUACCGACUAGGUAUACUGUUGCGACUCCCGAUAUCAUUCACUUCCGUCUCAUGGGCCAGGAAUUCAAUUUCUCUAUCACCCAGUUCAAUCUGGCUUUCGGUUUCAUCACUCGGGAGUAUGCAGAGACUAGGGAAUACGGUGAGAGUGCCUGCGAUUUUGUGGAACCUUUCCUUACCGCCUACCGUGAGGUGUGGGAGGACAUGUCUGUGGACAUGCAGCGUUACGAUCCCUCUCGGUCUCGGAGCUCCUUUCUAGAGGACCCGAGUGCUCGGUAUGUUCAGCGGCUUUUAGCAUAUAGCUACUCGGGCAGAAAGAACAGCUUCGGUAUUAUCUCUCGGCCGGAGCUCUUCUUCCUUUGGUGUAUGAAGAAUGGGUUCAAGGUCAAUUUGGGUUGUUGGUUGGCGGCACAGUUCAAGACCGUCAUGGCAAAGAAGAACAAGCCGUUGAUUCUUGGGUCGUAUAUCACGUACUUGGCGGUCCAGCUAGGCGUUCUGAAUCUACAGGAUCACGAUUUGCACUUGGCCUGCGACAUGGAGUAUCUCACUGCUGACCGGCUAGAGAAGAUGGGGGUUCUGGAGCUUGUCGAUGGCCACUACCGAUUUGUGCCCCCGGGACCGCCCCGCGCCCCGCCUCGCUCUUCCUCCACCCAUUCGGCCCCAGUUGGCGGUGAUCCUGGCCCGUCGACAUCCGCUCAGCUCCCUCCACCAGCAGGGGCUGAAGAUUGGCACCAAAUCAGGACGCAGAUUCAGAAUUUGGACGCCCGGAUGAUUAGCAUCGAGAGCAACGUGGCGGCUAUAUCACAGAAUCUGGCGGCAUUCCUGCAGCACUCGGGUUUCCCGCCCCCAAUCCCACCUCACCCUCCACUAUGACCCGGUUUCAGGGAAGUUUGGUUACUUUCUCCCUCACUUUUGUUGUUUUUUGACACAUUGAGGACAAUGUGUCCUAUAGGUGUGGGGGGGUCUAUAGUCUUUCUAGUUUUUAGUAGUUGUUAGUUUUUAGUUUUUUAGUAGUUUUAGUUUUAUUUCUAGUUGCGUAUUUUCUUUCUUUUCUUAGUGCUUAUUCCCCAUGUGAAAAGAAAAAGAAAACAAAAAAAAAGAGAAAAAAAUGUUGGUUUAUUGACUCUAACUCUACUUUUGCCAAGUUUUUUUUAAAUAAAAAUGUAUCGGGUUAAUGUGGUUGGAUCCAGAAUAUCUCCCUGGUGAAUAUCGGAUUGCUUGGCUCUUUUGAUUUCUGUGUUAAUUUCUCUAGGCAUAGGGAAUGACUGUUGGCAUUUUAAUGUGAACUGGUCCAAUAUUGACUCCAGUUCUCUAUGUUUGGCAAUAAUGAGGCGAGCUGUUCCUAUUUUUGGUUCUUAGUGUUGUUAUUAUGUGUUUUUGGCUUUGUUUGGCUGUGAAUAAUCUGGACUGUACUCCGCUAUGAGUUACUACUGAGUAACCGAGGAUCGGCACCUAAAAGUGUCGAUUCUCGCGUCAAAAGGUGGUACUUUAUAUGAGUACGUGGUCGUAUAGCAGUAGGAGCUGAGUAACCGGGCUCCUUCAUCUAAAAAUGUUGGAGUUCGCGUCAAAAGGCCCCGACGGCUAACGACUAAGUCUUUUUGUGUUAAUUAUUAUUGCUUUGAAAAACAAAAAAAAAAAAGAACGAAAAAAGAGAGAAUAAAUAAUAGGAAGGCUUGCCGGUUUAUGGACUUAAUAUGGAGACUUGUGUGAAUAUUUGGACCAUUAGCUAAUAAAUGUUGUGCGCCAUUCCCUUUUCUUAGAGUAGUUAACCUGGAAAUUGAAGGAAUUUGCAGUUUAGGGGCUAACCGGGGGGGAGGCUUCUUGGAUUUUAAUCACCAAUGCUCGAUAUAUGUUUUUCUCUUGAAGAUCUUGGCAAUAUAGGAGAUUGGACAAUGGCCAUCAUCGAAUUUUGGUGUUCGUUUACUAUUCUUAUGCUUGAGGACAAGCAUGGUUUAGGUGUAGGGGGAAUUGAUAGGGUGUAAUUUUACUAUUUAUUUUAUUAUUAAUUUCUCCUAUCACCUGACCUGAUGUGGAUUAAUUGCUGGAUUCUGCUCACUUUUAGUACUUUGUAUUUAUUUCAGGGAGUAGAACGGAAAUUUGAUAACAGGUGCUAAUUUGGCAGAAAAAAGUCCAGAUGAUAGAGCUUGCCCCAAGGGCAUUUUUGGAAAGGAGAACUUGUGCCCAUCUUGGUAAUUUGGGAGAAAAGGGAAACAGACAAAAUGGGUCUAACAUGGAUUGGAAGCGGCCGCACAGUAGCAGGGAAGAGGGCAGACGUAAAAGCAAUUGCAGGGGGGAAAAGGAGUUUUUUUAGUUUUUAGCUUAGCAUCUGAUUUUCCCUGGGAGACUUUUGUUAAAGAUUUCCUUUUGGCUGAUAUUACGCAUGGCAGAUGGCUUUUAACUUAUUCCUCCAUCUUUGACUUUUCUUCUUUAGCUUGUAGUAGUGGAUUGCUACUUACGAAUGUCAGCACUUAGCCAUUCGUGGCUUUUGAUCUUUUCUUCCUUAGAAAUUCUGAGUAGCCUCUUUUCCUUUGUGCGCCAGACGAAGUGAAAACUAUAAACUUUUGUAGUGUUUCUAUUCAUUCAAUAUAUUGAGACGAGUUGGAUUCUACCAAAUUUCAAUGGACAUGGCCGCUGGUUUCUCUUCAAUUUUAUAUGGGCUUUGUUCAUCGAACAUGAACUAAUUUCACCACUCUAGUCAAGGAACAACGAAGACUCUGGUUCGCCUAAAAAUUGUGAGAUCGUUUUAAUUUAAUCUUUUCCUUUUAUUUAUUGGUAUCCGCACAUUUCUUGAUUGCUAUGCUUAUGGUUAUUUAAUUAAUUGAUUGUCUUGGAUCCAGAUAAUUAAUUGAUCUGAUAGCCUAUUGUCAAUUAGGGCAUUUAAAUCCGUAAUUGUUUAAUUGUCCUGAAAUAGUGACAACUGGCACGAUUAGAUUCGUGCCAGGGGGGAUAUGCGGGCUAAUCUAAAAUAACCCUGGUAGUGUGUUAUUUGGUUAGAAUAGGGCUCCUCUAAUAUGUAAGGCAAUUGGGGAAUUAAAUUCUACGGGCGUACCUAGAAUUAUUUCUUAAUUAGAGUAGUGAUUAACGGGCGUACCUUGAUCACCGACACAGUAAGGAGGGGUUGACUGCCAUCGCUUGUUUGGCAGUUAUAACAUAUUUAUCAGUAAAUAAUUGGGAUUGCCUUGCAUCAAUGAUCAAUUAGAUGAACUAUUGCUGAAGUUACUUCUUGGCUAGAUCUUUAGUUAAUAUUACCUUGAUUUUGGUGAAUUGCCAUUUGAUUUUUAGUUGCCUACUUUAUUUUAUUUUUAAUUGUUUCCUUGCUUUAAUUGAGUUAGGCCUUUAAUUAUUGUUAUUCUAAGUUUAGUGAAUUGUGGUUUAAUUCCUAAUUAGUUAUUUAUUUUUACUUUCUUAUUUGAAUUUAUUUGCUUGUUAUCAUUCCUACGAAAUCACCCCCCUGUGUUACUUUGGAUUUCUUAAGAAACAAAUAUACCCAGUCCCUGUGGAUACGACCCUACUUGCCCUGUCCACGAAUUCAUAAUUAUUUGUGAAAAGAAAUAACCAUUCCACUCGGGUAUAUCGGAUCAAGCAAACUCUUCGGGAACAGGGUGAAUCAAGUAACCCAUUGCACACCUAAAAUCCCUGCUCCAGUACUUGGAAUUGGGUUUUGGUCAUUUUAACUGGCAAUUAAGUUUAAUUUUAUUAUUGCACAGGCUGACGACCCUGUCAUUGUAUUUGUACCAAAAGUGAAAACUUAACUAUUUUAGUUGUAUUUAUUUCAUCAUGUUGGAUUGUAUUCAAAUAAUUUUUGUUUGAUUGUUUUUAUAAGUUUCAAUUGUAAAAUUAAAAUGAAUAAUAACUUGAUGAUGUGUUGAUAUUUUAGUACUUGAUUAUUUAUUAAAAUUUAAUUAUAAUAAAAUUUUAUUAACUCAACGAGAAAAAUUUUAUUAAUCCCGUGGGGGCACCCGCGGGGAAAGCGGGGCGGGGCGAGGGGAGUGGGAGGCGGAGGACGGGGCGGGGGCGGGGGAUGGGGGAGGGGUCCCCCGCCCCAACCCCGCCAUCCCCCGUCCCGUUGUCAUCCCUAGUAAUAGACUGGCAAGCAUUGUGGUGGUCAUUGAGCAACUUAUAGGAGAAAUAGUCCUAUAAGCUGUUCAAUGACCAAUCACAACUUGCUAAUUGGAUGACUAAUAUAGCUCUAGCUGUAAUGUUUUAAUUAAAUUACAUCACUAACGUUGGGAUGACUUUUUAACCAAAAAAAAAAAGCCUUAGUUCAAGCUUUUCCCUUUAUUGUGCAUUUUUUAAAGCAUUUGAAAGGCACUGCAAAUCUGUCAUUUUGGACAUUUUAUUAUUGACUAACAAUGAAAGCCGUGGACGUCUACCCAUAACCAACACAAGAUUAAAUUAAUAUUAGAAAAAAUAAUUGAGUAAUUGGAAAAAAAAAAAAAAGAAGAGUCUAAUUUUCAUUGAAACCCACCGACAAACUAUACGUGUCCAUGGCUUUUGAAUAGUGCAUUCAACGUUUAAUUGUAUGGUCCAGUUCAUUGCAGAUUACAUGGAGUAAAGAUUGCGCUCUUUCCUUUUCACCCCUUUUGGAAUCGAUACUGUGGAGAAUUGGGUUUUUCCCUCCUUUUUUUCUUUUCUUUCCUUCUGUGGUUUGCAAAACAUACGUAAAAAUAUGAAAUCCGAAGCAUUCUUUAAUUGGUAUUAAGUAUUGUUGUUGAAAUUAAAAAGAAAAAAGAAAGAACAACAAAAUUCCCAAUCUGGGUUGAUUGUUGAGCUCUAGAUUGGUUGCAUCGUGCUUCCAUAGAAGCAAGAUUUGUAAAAUCGGAAUCCUACAUAGGAUCGAUUUUAGUUUCACAGGAUCGGAUUGUAAAAUCGUAAGAUCCUACCAAAAGCUCUCAAUUGCAAUUAAAGGUUGCAAUUCUUUAAUAAAUUACAAAUAUACCACAAAUAUUUUCAUUUACUUGCAAAAUGGAGCUUCGUAUUUCACAAAUUUACAAAAAAAUUGUAGGAUCGUACGAUCCUACCGAUCCUACGAUCCUACACGAUCCUACCGAUCCUGCUACGAUUCUAUGCGAUCCUACAAAGAUUAAUAUGAUUUGCGACUCUGCAUACGAUCCGGAUCGAUUUUGGUUAUCCGGAUCGUAGGAUCGUAUGAUCCUACGAUCCGGAUCGCGAUUUUGACAACUAUGCAUAGAAGCUCUCUUAGUGUGAUACACUGCUUUCAAUCAGUUUAACACGGGAAAAAAAAAAAGAGAUGAAAAGCAAAUUUGGUGGAGAUAAUUUCAGAAACCUCCCCUGAAGAUUUUGACUAUUCUACUGGUUUCCCUUCAGAUUUUAAAAAUUACACUAAUCUUCCUUGAAGUUAAUUAUCUUGUAACAUUUAAAUUCAAUCAAUAAUUUAAAAAAUGAUAUUAUGAGAGAGAAAAUAAUAUGAUUUUAUCAUUGCCCCCCAUCUUACUACAUUAUUUAAUUAAUUUAAUAGCAACCCACACAUUAAAGAAAAAUAUUAAAAUUUGUUGUUUAUCAUUAAAGAUCAAAUCGCUUAUAACAUCAAAUAAUAGUAUAUUAUUUAUAUUUUUCACUUAAUAUAAUAUCCAAAUUACUCUUUUCAAUUACAUACCCAUUGUUAGAGAAUCAACAACAAAUAACCAAAAAAUUUGCAACCAAAAUAUUACAAAAAAAAUAAACUUUAACAUCAUAAAUAUUCUUAUCAACAUAUUAAAGUUAGUUACUGAAAUUUUUAUGCUGUUAAACUUCACUCUUUUUGAAUACAGAUUUUUUUGAUUAUUUGUUAUUAAUUAUGUUUGAUGAUGGGUUUAUAAUUGAAAAGAACAAUUUGAAACUUACAUUAAGUAAAAUAUAUAGAGUGAUAUACUAUUUUUUAUAACAUAUGUGAUUCAAUCCUUCUUGAUAGGAUUGGUAAUAGAGGUAGAGGGGGGAGUCGGCUGCAUCCGGUCUUCUUUUCAUAGAUAGUACAAUAUUGCGAAAUCAAUCGCAUUCACACAAUAAUAUUUCGAAGUCAAUGCAUGGCUAAGUUGCAUAAAAGUACGAACACUUGUUAUUAUAUAGCUUAAGAUUCAAAACUUUCGAGCAUAACCCUCCACCCAACACAAUUGAAUAAUGAAUAUUCACGAUUGUCAAAUCUGUCAAAGCACAGUUUGAGGACAACCCAUUCCAACCUGCAAAAGAUUUUUUACUUUUCUAAAGUUGUUGAGAGCUGUAAAAAGACUUACCAUGCUUGCAUCCUCCGAGCCUUGGGAGUUAAAAAUGAAGGCACUGAGUGCUAUAAAAAGGGGAAUAGAGGCUGCCUAGAAGCAUAUCAGCCUAAAACAAGAAUUUGUAGUUAAGAUGGGAAGCAAAGCAAAAGCAAUGGGGUCUGGGCUGACUCCUCUUCUUGCCACUGUUUUAGUGGUGUUUGUUGCUCUUGGCUUGCCCUCACAAACUGCAGCUGAUGAUCACUACAAGUAUUCAUCUCCUCCUCCUCCUUACCACUAUCCCUCACCACCACCACCAGUGCAUAUACCUCCACCUCAUCCUGUUUACAAGUACAAAUCUCCACCACCCCCACCACCACACCCAGUUUACAAGUAUAAGUCACCACCACCACCUCCUCAUCCGGUAUACAAGUAUAAGUCUCCUCCGCCACCACCACACCCAGUUUACAAGUACAAGUCACCACCACCACCUCCUCAUCCGGUACCACACCCAGUUUACAAGUAUAAGUCACCUCCACCACCUCCUCAUCCGGUACCCACAGUUUACAAGUAUAAGUCACCACCACCACCUCCUCAUCCGGUAUACAAGUAUAAGUCUCCUCCGCCACCACCACACCCAGUUUACAAGUAUAAGUCACCACCACCACCUCCUCAUCCGGUGCCACACCCAGUUUACCACUACAAGUCACCACCACCACCUCCUCAUCCGGUACCACACCCAGUUUACCACUACAAGUCACCACCACCUCCUCACCCAGUUUACAAAUACGAGUCUCCACCACCACCAGUUUAUAAGUACAAGUCACCACCACCUCCUCCACCAGUUUACAAGUAUAAAUCUCCUCCACCACCACCACCAGUUUACCACUACAAGUCUCCACCACCUCCUCCCCCAGUUUACAAAUACAAGUCUCCACCACCUCCUCACCACUACUAAGCAAUUGCUUCUGAGGUAAUAACACUUGUUCAAUAUACCCACUUCUGCAUGAUAAAGCAUAUCUCUAUCAACACAAACUGUCAUGUCUAUCAUGCUAAGUGCCUUCACUUCAUCCACCAAAAUGACUGCUAGAAAAUUUUUUUUAUGUUACCAAAGAAAGGCAUCAUUUUUUCCCUCUGUUAUCAAGAACUUGUACAGUAUAUAGAUUAAAGAGUAUUUUUUUAACUAGCUUAUCAACUGAGAAAUGCAUAUAGCUGAUAGCCAGCUGAAUAUUUGCAGGCAAAGGAGAAGGAAACCAUGUUUGAGACCUUCUUGAAGAUGUAGAAGCAUAAGAAUAAAAGCCCAAUGUGAAGAUGAUGAUUUCAAGUUUUUCUACGUUACCAUUUCUUUAUCUAAAUUGGUUGUAGCGCCCAAGUUCCUUUGUUUAUGGGAUUUGUAUCGUUUUACGUACCAUGCAGUACAUGUCAUGUUUGUAAGGUUUUCUAUCCUGCCGGCAAACCGCAGGUUCCAUGUGAUAAAUGAAUACUAUUUAUGUUACGACACUUUUCUCUGUUUCUCUUAUAUUUUGUCUUUAAUAUUCUUAAUCAUAUUUUUAACAAAAAUAUUCAAACACUUAGGCAAUCUGGUCUAAUGCUAAUUGUAUGUUUUACUUUUCUUUUUCACCUGCUCCCCUUUUCAACUCAAAAGGAUGCAAUAGUUUGUGAUCACUGUUUAAGACGGAAGCAUGAUACUAAUGAAUAUCUCAUUGAAACUCAAGGAAACUAACAUUGCGAAAAGUGUAAAUCUUGAUUUGAUGCAACUAUUUAUUCGUGGAAUCUAUAGUUACAAAACUCAAAUUCUGACUGCGCCAUUGAUAAAUUAUUAAUGACGCUAUCAUCAUUAUUUAUCCCUAACUAGUUUCGACUACAACUGAACCCAAUAUUUUCCCCAUGAUAAAAGUUUUUGACUAUUUUACUGGCCUCUCUUCAAAUUUUAAAAAUUACACUAAUCUUCAUUGAGAUUAAUUAUCUUGUAACAUUUAAGUCCAAUUAAUAAUUAAAAAAUGAUAUUAUGAGAGAGAAAAUAAUAUAAUUUUAUCAUUGCCCCCCAUCUUGCUAUAUUAUUUAAUUAAUUUAAUAGCAACCCACACAUUAAAGAAAAAUACUAAAAUUUGCUGCUUUUCAUUAAAGAUCAAAUUGCAUAUGCCAUAAAACAUAGUAUAUCAUUCUAUAUGUUUCACUUAAUGUAAGAUCCCAAUUGUUCUUUUCAAUUACAAACCCAUUGUCAAACAUGAUCAAUAACAAAUAAUCAAAAAAUUUGCAACCAAAAUAUUACAAAAAAAAACUUUAACAUCAUAAAUAUUCUUACCACCUCUAGUGCAUUCACCCUCAUAAAAUAAUUCAAGACCCUACUGUCAUAAAAUGACUGAUCAACUCCUGUAAACCUAAUUUGACAACAUUUAAAUGGAGAACUUUAGCUAAAAGAAUUAUGGUCAAGCUAAAGAAAAAACCAGUUAUUUUCCAACAUAUGCAACCAUUGAUCAGGGGAAAAAAAAAAGCAAAAAGACAUCUUCAAUCAUUUAAUAGCUUACAGGGCAAAUUAACCCUUGAGUGAAAACUGGUUGCUCUAGAAUUAAAAUUUUACCUUAGUUACCCAGGCAACUUUUUUGUUGCCUUUUCUUUUUCUUUUUUGGGUAUAUAGCUCCAGUUUUGCCCCCUCUGUCAAGCUUAUAUAAUUAUUAAGAUAAUAAAAGUGCCUUUAAUAGUAUUAAUAUAUCCAUUGACUUGAGCUGUCAUCGAUCGGUUUGGGCUACUUCGAUUCCAUGAGAACAAAUGGUAAUAAAAGUACUCAGAAAAUGGGGAGUCAUGAAACCCUUUUGUUCUAUUCAUUGCUAAGAUGCUUUUCUCUAUAAAGAGACUUCCUAACGAAAAUACUUUGUAGAUUUCUUUACUCCAAGUGGUGCAUGGAAAAUUAAUAUUUUCAAUUAUCAAAUAAAAUUCCCUUUUUUCGGCGUAGAUUUCAUCCAUCCAGCUGUUAACACAUUCUAUAAAUCCGAAUUGACUAAUCUUUUCGUUUCCAUUUUCCAACUUGCGAAUACGGCAUAUAGUGUCUGCUAAACACUAUAUAUUCUCUGCCAAAUAUGAAUACAUAUCACUUUUCUGAGCAAGUGCAGAGUCAUUAUCAUUUUUAUUCCCACCUAACAAAUUAGGGAUAAAAAAGUUAAUAAUCUUUACAUGCUAUCAGGUCACAAGUUAAUAAUCUUUUAAAGAACAUGUUAAAUUAAUUUAUUGGUAUGAAUAGUAGUCAAAGAAGUAUGUUAAAGUUAGUAAUCUUUAAAAUAAUAUGUUAAAAUCAUUCGUACAAAUUAGUCAGAGAAGUAGCAUAAACACCGCGAUGCAAUUAAUACUUUCAAUCUCAAGGUCUCUAUUAUGGAAAUUUGCAUCGGUCAAUAUACACUUGGCAUAAUAUAAUCUCCCAACUCAUUUCUUUACAAAUGCACCUUUAAUCACCACCAAAAGGUGUGGACAUGAUCUUUACCCUAGAAAACUAUUCACCGACAGGCAAAUUGACGUCAGAAAUACUGAGGAAUUCUAGUUUCCUUCGGGUUCAUGCCAUGUUGUAUCCUUCAACUGUAACUCGAUUUCUAAGCUGUAAUUUGUGACAUAAUAGUCCUUAAACUAUGAAACCCUUCUUACUUAAUUACAAUGGUUAAUACAAUGCCCGUGACUAGACAAGUAUGAAGCAACCAUAACAGAAAAAAAAUCCAAAAUUAGAGAAAAGAAAGAAGUUUCGCGACCACCACCAGUUUACAAGUCACCUCCACCACCUCCUCCAGUUUACAAGUCACCUCCACCACCUUACCAUUAUUCCUCACCACCACCUCCAGUGCAUUCACCCCCACCACCACCAGUUUACAAGUCUCCGCCACCACCUUACCAUUAUUCCUCACCACCACCUCCUGUGCAUGCACCUCCACCACCAAUUUACAAGUCACCUCCUCCAGUUUACAAGUCUCCACCACCACCUUACGAUUAUUCCUCACCACCACCUCCAGUGCAUUCACCCCCACCACCACCAAUUUAUAAGUCUCCCCCACCGCCUCCCCCAGUAUAUAAGUCACCACCACCACCUCCUCCAGUAUACAAAUCACCUCCACCACCUCCUCCAGUUGACAAAUCUCCACCACCACCAAUUUAUAAAUACAAGUCUCCUCCACUACCUCCUCCAGUGUACAAGUCAUCACCACCACCUGCUUACAAGUCUCCACCUCCUCCAGUUUACAGUUCCCCACCACCACCAAUCUACAAGUCUCCACCUCCACCCUACCAUUACUACUACAAUUCUCCUCCUCCUCCUCGUCACUACUAAGCAAUUGUAUCCAAGUUUUUGAGGUAAUAACGCUUAACCAAUAAAUUAACUUUCGCAUGAUAAACCUUAUCUCUAUCAAGACAAACUGCCAUGUGUAUCAUGCCAAAUACGUACACCUAGAUCCAUGAAAAUGAAUGGUAGAAAGUUUUCUUAAGAACCAAGAACAGCAUUAGUAUUCCCUCUGCUUCCAAAAACUUGUGUAUUAAAUAGAUUAAUGAAUUGUUUAACAUGCUCAUCUACUUGAAAAUGCACAAUACCCAUAACCCACUGAAAUUUUUGCAGGAAAAGGGAAAGAGAAUCUGUGUUUGAGAGCUUCAUGAAGAUGUUGAAGAAUAAGAAUAAAAGCCCAAUGCAAGGAUGUUUUCAAGUUUUUCUAUGUUUCCACUUUAAUUUGUAAAUUGAAUUUUGCGACUCAAUUAAUUCCCUGUUUGUGAGGUACGUAUUGUUUUACGUACCAUGCCGUACAUUUUUUUUUUCCAACAAACGGUAUCAUGUUAUAGAUAUUAACACUUGACCUUACAAGGAUUAGUUACAAAAAGGGGAUACUACCCUCAACUCUGUCCUAGCUAAAUCAGUCAGCCAUAUUGGGAAAUUAGUUUCCCAUUCAAUAUCAUGUACAAGCUUCACAGCAUAUUGUGCUAAUUGAUGGCUGAUGUGAUUUUCAGUUCUAGGUAUAAACACAAAAGAACAUUUUUCAAAAGCUAGACUAAGUUCCUGCACAUCUUCUAAGAUAGUUGCAGUCGUGUAGUCAUACUCCUUGCGUUUAGUAAUCUGCUCUACCACUGAUUUGCAGUCUGUAUGGACUAUAAUUUGUGUCCAACCUGCUUGGGUAGCCAUCAGCAGAGCAUUUCUCACAGCCCGAGCUUCCACUUCACUUGCCGAUCCCUUUCCCUGUGUGACAAUUCCUUUUGCUUUCAAAAGCUGUCCUUUCCAAUUUCUUGCUAUAAUCCCUUGUCCGGUCCUGACUCGUUUAGCUGAUAUCGCUGCAUCGGUAUACAGCCUUAUCUCUUCCUUCCUUGGCCGCACUCUCCUGGUAGGUAAGGCAUCAUUCAGCUUCCCUGCGAUCUCCUUCUGGUCUGUACUCCCUACCUGUUCAAACUCAAGCCAUUCCUCCUGUGCUUUCCUUACUAUUUUUACUGGAUCCUGGUUGGCUUGUUCAAAAAAUUUUUUGUUCCUGGCUUUCCAAAUUUGCCAAAGGAUAUUGAUAGUAAGACUAACUCUCUCCUGACCUUGGUUCAGUGCCAGCGAUUGUGUGACUUGUUCCCACCAUAACCAAAAGUUAUAUUGCAUACCCAGUAAUCCAUCCCACCUGACCGGUGCUAGCUUCCACGUUUCCACAGCCUUUUCACAGAAGAAAAACAAAUGCUCAAUAGUUUCCAUAUCUUCACCACAGCAACCACAUCUGCCUUCCCCUCUAUGUAGCCUUUUCGACAUCUGUUCAUUGACUGGCAGACAAUUUUGUAAGCACUUCCACAUGAAGUGUUUUAGUUUGGCCUUCACCUUCAAAUGCCAUAGCUGCUUCCACACAUUUCGUUUUCGUAUCUCCCAACUUGUUUCUGCCUCUUGGCCUGUCCUUGUACCUGCUUUUCCUUCCCGUUGCCUUGCUAAAGCAUAACCAGAUUUCACGCUAUAAAUUCCAGCUUUGGAAUGCCCCCAUACCAACCUAUCCUUUCUUCUUCCUAUACUUGUUGGAAUUCCCUUUAUGUGCUCUGCAUCUUUUGCACAAAACCACUUGAGAAGCAAAUCAUUUUUCCAUUUCCCUUCCUCUAUCAGCUCACUUACCCAUUCCAACUUGCAUCCCACAGGUUGUGUGGUUGAUGCAAAGCCGGUAUCUGAACCAACUAUCCAUCUGUCCCGCCACAUGUUGACUGACUUGCCAUCUCCAAUUCUUUUCCAAAGACCAUCAUACAGAAAGGAGGCUGCACUAUGAAUACUCUUCCAACACCAUGAGGCUGAAGAGACUGGCUUCUUGUCCAUCCAUUUUUCAUCACUCAUAUACUUCGCCUUCAUUACCUUACUUACUAACAAAUUUGGAGCCAUUAAGAAUCUCCAAAUUUGUUUUGCCAGUAAUGCUGUGUUGAAGGCCUCCAAAUCUCUAAAGCCUAAACCUCCUCUUCCCUUAACUUCUAAGAGCUUCUUCCAGCUUGCCCAAUGUACACAGGUACCCUUUUCUCCCUUCCCCCACCAGAAACUCGCUAUUUUACCUGUGAUUUGUCUACACAAACCCCUUGGAAGUCUAAAGCAAGCCAUCACAUAUGUUGGCAUAGCCAUAAUCACUGAUUUGACCAGAAUUUCUUUCCCUCCUUGGCUCAACAGUUUUUGUUUCCAACCUUGCAACUUGUUACUAAUUUUGUUCUGGACAAAUGCAAAGACCUGUGUCUUUGAUCUUCCAAUUGCCAUUGGGAGUCCUAGGUAGGUUCCAUUCCUUGCCUCUUUAAUGUUAUCUAAUACCUCCCUCACUCCAUUCUUCCUUUGAUCAGUGGUAUUUUUGCUAUAGAAGAUAGCUGACUUUUCAAAAUUCACCACCUGUCCGGAUGCUUGACCAUAUCUUUCCAAUAUGCUUUUGACCUUCCUCGCCUCCUGCUUGGUUGCUUGGCAGCAUAGUAGAGAAUCAUCUGCAAAAAAUAGGUGAGAAACCAUCGGACUGUCCUUGCAUAUUUUGAUCCCUGUAAUUUCCUUGUUCAUCAUAGCUUUAUGGAUCAAACAUGAAAGACCUUCAGCGCAUAUAAUAAACAAGUACGGGGAUAGGGGGUCUCCUUGUCUAAGCCCUCUACUCGGUUGAACACAGCCUACCUUUUGCCCAUUUAAGUUGAAGGAGUAAGUCACAGUAGAUAGGCAAGACAUGAUCCAUUUAACAAAAAUUGGACAAAACCCCAUUUUCAUCAUAACUCUCCCCACAUAUUUCCAUUCGACUCUAUCGUAAGCUUUGGACAUGUCCAGUUUAAGAGCCAUAAAUCCUACCCUUCCCUUUCUCCUAUUUUUCAAAAAAUGCAGGAUUUCAUGUGCAACUACUACAUUAUCAAGAAUUUGACGGCCUGGGAUAAAAGCGGAUUGAGAGGGACUAAUACAAUGAUGCAAGACACCUUUCAAUCUAUUAGCUAUGAUUUUAGAAAUGAUUUUAUACAGGACAUUGCACAAGCUAAUAGGUCUAAAAUGCACCACAGAUUCAGGAGUAUCAACUUUAGGAAUCAACGAAAUAAUAGUAUCAUUCACAGCUUUGAGCAAAUGCCCAGUAUGAAAGAAACUCUUAAUAGCUGCUACCACAUCAUCCUUGAUAAUAUCCCAAUAGUGUUGAAAAAAUAGAGGAGACAUACCAUCCGUUCCUGGUGCUUUAUUAGGGUGCAUCGAGAACAAAGCUUUCCUGAUCUCACUUUCCUCCACUUGUCGUAUCAGUUGUCCAUUCAUAUGACUCGAAAUAGUGCUUGGAAUUUCAGCUAGAAUGUCCUCAAAGCAGUCCGGGUUAGUAGUGGUAAAAAGGUCUUUAUAGUACUCACAAAGUUCCUCCUCAAUCUCAUGUUCCUCCUUGCACCAUGUCCCAUCUUUUUUCUGCAAUAUAGUGAUCUUAUUUCUCCUCCUCUUUGCCAUGACCGAAGAAUGGAAAAAAGCUGUAUUCUUGUCCCCUUCUUUGAGCCACUUGUUCCUGGAUUUUUGACUCCAAAACAUCUCUUCCUCUGCAUAAGCUUUAUUCAAUUGUGCUUUUAGUUCAGCCACUUGUACUCUUUUCCCUUCAUCCUUUCUUGCUUUCACUUCAGCCAAUUUCUCCUUUAACACUUUAAUUCUAACCUUUGAGUUUCCCUGCACCUUUUUCCUCCAAUCCAGAAUAGCCAUGCGACAUUCCUUUAUUUUUGUAGCCACUCUAAACAUCCUGGACCCUGACUUCACCUUUGUCCAUGCUCCUUGAAUCACCCUUUUUGCUUCUGGAUUUAGCGUCCAUCGUUGAUCAAAGUAAAAUCUCCGUUUUCUCCUUGUGUUUUCCGGGUUUGUAUCCACAAGAAGCAUUAGAUGAUCAGAGGCUUCAGUAUCUAAAUGAGUACACUGUGCCUUUUCAAAUCUUUGCAGCCAUUCGGUGCUGCAUAAACAUCUAUCCAACCUCUCUUUCACUUCCCCAUCCCCCUCCCAACUAUUGCACCAAAUCCACGGGACCCCUUGAUAACCUAAGUCAACCAGGUUAUUGUCUUUGAUAAACCUGUUGAACUCCCUAAAACAUCUUUCAGCUCUAUCCCUUCCUCCCCACUUCUCCUCACUAGACCUCAAAUCAUUAAAAUCUCCUACAAUGAUCCAGCCAUCCCCCCAGUCCCUCAUCCUGUCCUCUAAAUAUUUCCAUUGUGCUUUUCUAAUGUUACUAUCUGUGCUUGCAUAAACACACACUAGCCCCCAGUAUCCUUUAGUAUCCUUGUCCUCAACUCUAGCACUAAUACACCAAUCAGUACUUACAAUCUGGUCUAAAAUCACCUCAUUGUUCCAGAAUAAUGCUAGACCGCCUGCUUUACCUAUUGAAUUCACAAAAAAGCUAUUGUCAUACUGAAUCUUCCUUUGAACCUUGCCCAUAAACCCUUCCUGAUUCUUAGUUUCACAAAGGAACACCACCUUAGGAGAGUGGAAGUUAGUCACUUCCUUUAGUUGGGGACUUGUCAAGGGGCCUCCUACACCUCGACAAUUCCACACCACAACCUUCAUUUACACUUUGGAGGCUUUCCGGGGCUAGCCUCCAUUUCCCCUAUUGUACUAACAUUUAUUAGAUCCAGUUUCAUAACCUUUACCUUCGGUACAUUAUCAUCAUCCUCCUCUAUCGGUUGUGUUCCCUGAAACAUACCAUCAGCCUUCCUUUUAGCACACGAAACCUGCGUUACUUGUCCAUUUGUAUCUGCCUUUAAGGAUGUUUUAGCCGGCCUCCCUCUUCUUUUAAAACUGCUUCUUUUUUCAGCUUUGUUAUCUUCUUCCCCUGGAGUAGCCUCCUUUCUUGGCAUUCUUGCAUUUGUCUCCUCCUGCUUUAUUGACCCUACCCGCAAACUUUCACAUUCCUGUUUUGAGCUGUCCGUUUCCAUAUCCUCAUAAUCUACUGGUGGGAUUACGCUGCUCCCUCCUUUACUCCCUUCCUGUACCCUACCCUCCUUUUCACCAUUUCCCUCCAUUAAGACCACAGCCAAACUUUCCACCCGUUGGUUUGCCUUUCCAUACUGCCUGCUGUCUUUUAGAAUCUCAUCCCACCUCUCUUCAUAUUGUCUCGUCAUCAUUUUCUCCUUAUCCCCCCUUUCCUUUCCCCCCAAGACUCUACCAUUUUUUCCCCCAAGAGUUAAUGUAUCUCCAGCCAUUUGUACUCCAGUUUGAACUUCACUACUAGGAGACCCUGCCCCCACCCUCCUUGCAUCAAUUUCACUUACUCCUUCCAGCCGUCCCUUUAAGGGAGAUACCAUUAUAUUUCCAGCUCUCAUCCAGGCACCAUAUUGUUCCUCUCGCUUCUCCCCCCCACCCUUCCUACCACAGUACAAGUCCUAUCACUAUGCCCAAUGAUACCACACCUAUAACAGAAAUCAGGGCAGCGUUCAUACCUGAACUCAACCCACACUGCCUGGUUCUUACAGUUGAUCUUUGUCCCUCUAACCAGUGGUUUCGUUAUAUCUACCUCAGCCAUAAUCUUCAUGUGGCGACCCUCUUUCCCACCACUUCCUGGGAGAAUCACUCCCCUCACUGAUUUAAAGAUCCCUCCUAUUUUCAAACCCACUGCUCUGCUCAACCAGUGCACCGGUAGGUUCCAUAGUUGAAUCCAAAGAAAGGAAUGCUGGAAAAAGCUGCUGUUUGUAUCAUACCCCUCUACCCACUCCUUCACUAUCAGCAACUGGUUGUCCAUGACCCAAGGCCCUCCAGAUAAGAUCUUUUUCUUUUCCCCUUCAUCUCCCAGAUGGAAAUGGAAUAAGUUAGGACCUAACUCAGUCACUUUCAUCUUUGAGGGGUAUCCCCAUGCAUGAUUUGUAAAGUUCUUUAACCCCGUAAAGUUGGCAAUUUUUUCACCAAUCAGCUUUCCUACCAGGCUUCCUUGACACUCAGAGACGCCUUCUUCCAGGUCCUCACCACUCAGAUCGACACCUCCUAACUCUGUUUCAGACAAGUCAAAAUUUUGAAAGGCUCUUUCUAAAGCAUCCGCCAUUGCUGUGACGAGAGCUCCUUGAGAAACCAAGCACUAUUUCUGAGCUAUGAGUGACCCACUGACAGACCUGUGAAGAAUUGCAAAGACAGACAAAGCUGUGUUAUCCGUACACACUAAAAACCAACCAGAAAAACAGAGAGGAACUCGACAGAAAAAGCACAGGCACAAGAAGAAACGAAAGAAAAAAGAAAAACCAACAAACCACUAUCCCACUCCCGACCACAUAACAGCAUUAAAGAAAGGGACACAAAUACGACACUCCAACUUCCGAUCACAUGCUCUGACUCAAUGGAUCAUAUCUUGCCCAAAGCGUUUACUCCUCCAACCGAUUCCAAACCACUACAGACAUUGUCUCCCAUUUUGAAGCCGGAAGAAAGGUGGCUUCUGGACAGGGAACAUGAAAGCAAAGGUUGAACUAAAGAUUUGAUUUUAGAUCUGAAAAUUACGCUGUAGGAAAAAGUGCUAUGUGUUUGUACCUCACCCACUCUCCCACACCGAGGAGGGGAACCUCUAAAGUUAGAGAGAGAAGCUCUCAAGUUAGAGAGAAGCUUUGGAAGUUAAUUACCAACGUACCAUGCCGUACAUGUUUGUAAGGAUUUCUAUCCUAUUGGCAAAAGUCGGUUCCAUACAAUUAAUCAAUUCAUUUCACUUCUAUUGGCUCUACUAUUUAUGCAUGUUACGACACUCUUUCCCUUAUAUUUUGCCUUUAAUAUUAUGAGUCAAUAGUAAUAAUGGGCCUUUUUCUUAAAAUUAUACUAUUAUACAUAGGUAGUUUGGUCUAACGCUAAAUUCAUGUUUGUCUUUCUUUUAUUCCCUUUACAUCUCAAAGUAUACUAUAGUUUGUAAUCAUUGUGGUGAUGAUAUUACCAGCUGGUACUUAUAGUUUAAGGCAGAGACAUGAUAUUAACAACUAUCUCAUUGAAACAUAAGUCAAAAUCAUGACAAGUGUGAGUCUUGGUUAAUGCACAAUUUGUUAGUGGAAUUUAUAUUUAUAAAACUCAAAAAAAAUUUUUGACAAUGCUAUUACUAAUUAAUUAAGGACUUCAUUGCUAUAAUUUAUCGCUUACUAAUUUAAACUAUAAAUGAUCUCAAUACUUUUCUCCAUGAUGUCGAUUUCUUUAGACUACGAAAGGGAAAAAUUAGUGACAUAUCCCUUACUGAUUACAACAUCAGCAAAAAUUAGUUAUAAACUUUUCCGGUGGUUUUAAAUCCCUCGGGCACUAAGGUUUUUUGCACAUCGAGUGAAUUAAGGAACAUAGGCAAUUCGUUCUGCAUACCAAGUCCUUGUUUAAGAUGCACGUACUAAAAUGCAUCCACUUCAUUAAUUUGGAAAAUUGCCAUAGUUUUUUUUAAGCAUUUUGAUUUUUUACAUGAUUCAAAAUUUUCUUAUUGGAUACAAUCACUUUGUGUCAAGAACACAUUUUCAAUCAUCUUUUUUAUCUUCUCAAUAAGAAAAUAAAAAUUUAUUCAUGCUUUUCUAACAUAUCCAAUCAUUGAUCUGAAAAAUAAAGAAUUAAAAAAAAAAGACAUUUUCAAUCAUUGCUUACGGGGCAACUUCCCCAUGUGAACCUCAUCAAACAAAGCCAAUAAUAUGAAGGAACAUCUAAAUACACUUUUGCCCUAAAGGCUGGUUGCCUUGGGGUCAAAAUUUAACCUUCGGGAGUAUAAUUACCCGCCAAAUUUAUUAUUUUUUUUAUGGGUAUAUAGUUCCAAUUUUGCCUCCUGUUAAGCUUAUAAAUAUAUUACGACCCAGAAAAUAAAGGAAUCUUGAAUAGUAACAUGUCCAUUGACUUGAGUUGUUAUCAAUUUGGCUACUUCGAUUCCAUGAGGCCAAUCCAAUUCACACUAGCUAGAGAAAAUGGUGAUAAAGGCACUUAGAAAUUUAUAUGUAAUAUUGAUUGGUAGUAACUGAUAAGUAUAUAUUUUACGUGUUUUAAAUAUGUUUUAUUAGUUAGUUUUGGUGUGUUUUAACUACUUUUAUAACUAAUUAACUAGGAAUCUAGUGAAAAUAUGCAUUUUGUGGUUUGAAGUGUAAAAAUUGUAUUUCUAUGGAUUUUAAUGGUGAAAACUUCAUGUUUUUGUAGGUUUAAUGAUUCAAUCAUCAAAUGACAUGAUUUGAGAAGAUAAUUAGAUGAUUGAUGAUGUUUUGAAGUGAUAAAAAGAGAAUACAAAGUGCAAGAGAGGAAAUGCAAUCAAGAAUAAAAGAAGAAAAUUUUUGUAGCUUUGACAUAUUGUCGUAUUUCGGCAAUAUAUUGAGCUACAAUGAUCGGAUUAAGGUGAUUCUUAAACCAUUUGAAGCUAAAAUAUAGAUCUACAUUUGGCAUGAAGGCAUCGAAACCCAUGUCAGUCAUUUUCCUUGUCAAAAUGUUGAAAUACAGAAGUGCAACUCUGUUCUCGAAAGCUAAAACAGAGCUCUGGCUAGUCGAGGGUAUUUUCAUCAUUUCUUAGUCCACAGAGCUCCAAAUGAGAUGAUUCUUAAGGCAUUAGAACCCUAACUCAAAGAGCUACAACUUUCAUAUUUUGUACAAGAGUUAGUUCGGCCUCUAUCAUUAAGAAAAUAGUAGUUGAAGUGGUGCCAAAUGCAUAGAAGUGAAAACGCGAGCUAUCAAUACUCGACCUGAAGUCGCGUAUUCCUGAGGUCAUGCAUUCUCUUCUAUUUUCUGCAACUUGCCCUGCUUUCACAUAACUUUUUCAUCUCAAUUCCAACUAUCAAUUUCGGCUAUAUCUGAUCAAGAAAAGUGUGGAAAGUUUGAAAGACAACUCAUAGGAGUUUCAAGAGUCAAAAAUUACAAUUAGAAACAACUCAUUUGGCUCUUGAAUCCUCUAUAAAUAGAGGCCUUUGAAGAACAUUUUCACAACUUUGGAAGGUUAGAGAAACUCCACAAAAACAUAGUCUUCACUAGAAUUUCCUUAGUUCAUUAGUUAGGGUAGUAUAGUAUAGUUAGUGUAGCUUUUCCUUCUUGUAUUUAUAGUUAGGUUUGAAUGAAGAUUCAGGAGCAAAGAUAGAGAGGUUGAUCUCAUGUGACAAGGGUGAUAUCUCUUCUACUACUUUCUCUUUUGUAUUUGAUUUCAUAUUUAACUAUACUACAAAUUUGGCUUUGUUUUUUUUUUUUUAUCAUGUUUAGUUAAAGUUUAUGCCUAGAGUAUGGAUGACCUUUUUAUAUCUUGUUUGUGAUAUUUAACUGGUUAUUUGAUGAUGUUAUUUUUGAGCAAGUUAUUUAUCACUUUUGCUUUUCUAAUCAUGAUUAACUGGCCAUUAGUUGUGAUUAUCUAAAAGUGUUAAGUUUGUAAUGAGAAUUGGAGUUUAACACUAGUUCAAGGAAGUGAUAAAUUUAGGGAGUUCACUCAUGAGAGUAGAGGAACACCUUUGUGACCUAAGUGACUUGUUUCAUAUAAUUUCAUAGAAAAAAUGAACUUGUAAUUAAUUUCAUAACCACGAGAGUAAGUAUGGUUUAGCUAUAUGUAUAGUUGAUUCACUACGAGAGUAGGUUUCACAUACAUUAGAAAAUUACAUCAUAACUAGUCAAGAUAAUAUCAUUCAUUUAAUCAGUAAUCUCAUUUGCAUGAGUAGUAAGGCAUUCCAUAUCUCUAGGAGGUUUUUAGUAUUAUUUUCAUUACUUUUAUGUUUAUGGUAGUCUAGAUAAUAAUGGAGUUCGAAAACUACUAGUAAUUGAAAAUUUUCCCUGUGGGAUCGACCUUUAAUACCCUAUACUCGCUCUCGACUCGUAUACUUGAGAAAAAUCACGUGUGCGGUAUUUAGAAUUUAUAAAUGUAAAACUUGACUGUAGAUGAACUAAUUGAUAUAUGUAUACCCCGCACUCGUCAGUAACCAGCUUGUAUUGAUCCCACUAUUGUGGAUAAUUGUGCUCUUAUGAAAAAAAAUUAUAAAAAAAUUAGCAAAAUUUAUGAUAACAAAUUAAAUUUAUUCAUACAAAUCAGUGAAAGAAGUAGAAUUUUAAAGUCCAUGAUGAAAUUAAUACUUUCAAGGGCUCUAUUAGGAAGACUUCACUUGUUGGUGAAACUACACUAGCACAGUUAUAUGCACAUUUACUGUUUUGGUAUCUAAUUUCCUUGCCUUAAGUUGGGUGCAGAUGUUUAUAUUACAAAUAGAUGGUAUCAUAAAAUUGUUGUAUUCACGUUUGUUCUUUUUUUUCUUCCUUAAGUUUUUUUCUUUAUUCUCGUGACUUCAAAAAUACGAACUCAAGAAAUUGGCUGCUUAAUCAAUAUGUCAUACAGGCUUCGCUAGUGAGGUAUAACUUCACAACUAGAGUCAAUAGAAAUUAUCAAAUGAUUUUUUAACAUCCAAAUUAAGCAAUAAAUUUUGUUUUCAUUUUAUGACAUAUAAUAGUACUACUUCAUGAGAGAUUUUAUAGUUUCUUUUAGGUAUCAUACCUACAAGUGAUAUUUGUCAUUGGAUAGUGACAGAAGUGUUAAUGAUUGUAAGAUUAAAUAUUGUUAAAUAUUGAAAUUUAAACUAUUUAUCUUUAUUGAAAGAUACAAGUUAAAGAAUCGUUCAAGGGGGCAAUUUUCCAUCUUGUCUUUUUGAAAAAACGCUAUCACAUUGUAUAGGCAUGAUAGGUUCAAAUUUGUCAUUAAAUUUAUGAUUGAUUUUCCUUUUAUUCAAGCCAAAUAUUGUUUUAAUUAUCAAAUUCUACUUAUAUUUGGUUAAUUGUACUAAUUGUAGGGCGGUAGAGCAAAAGUUGCUAAAAAUAGGCGAUUUUCUGCAAAUUGGUUGUCAAGGCUGAAGGAUUUGGGAUUCGCAUGUUCAAGGCCUGUUUCCAAGUUUGAUUCAAACUCUGGACAGUUUUAGAGGAAGAUUUGGAAGAUUUGAAAUUUCAUUAUUAGUUUUAUGGUUGAAUUAGGAAUCUUGGAAUAAUUUCUUUUGUGAUUUAUUUUUCUAUUUAGGAGACUAGUUGUUAUUUAGUAGUAGACUUCAAUUAGAAAACAAAGAGAAAAAGAAGGCCGGAAUCCCGCUUGAUUAAUACCUUGGCCAGGGAACAAUCUCGGUGGGGAGGACGGCCACUUAGCCUCUCAAUUCAUCUUGCUUUUCGUUAGUUUGAGAGGAAAACCAAUUGCAACUAGAUUCAAUGGAGUCUGGCAGAAUUUCUUCUAGGAUGCGUAGCUAAAUCCUCAAUUUUUAGUCGAAGGUCAAUUUGAAAAUUCGGUUCCAAAUAUCUGUGAAAUCGAAUUAUUUUACUUAUUUCUUUUAUUUAUUGGUAUUCGCACGUUUUCUGAUUUAACUUUUUAUGAUUGUUUUGUUAUUUGAAUGUCAAGGGUCCGAUAUUCGAAUUAACUUAAUAAUCUACUGCCAAAUUAACCGGUUAAAUCCGUAAUUGUUUGAUUGAUUAAUAUCAGUGGCGACUAGCGUGAUUGGUCCCAUGUUAGGAAAACGUCUGAUCUAAUUUAAACAAACCGUCGUAGCGUGUUUGUUGAUUAGGGUUGGGCUUUUCUAAUUCUUAAUUCAAUUGAGAAAUUAAAUCCCCCGGUCGUACCUAGGAUUAUUUUUUUGUUAGCGAAAUAGUUAAUGGUCGUACCUUGACUAUCGAAAAAGUAAGGAAGAGUUGAUUGUUUAUCGCGUGUACGACAACUAUAAUCAAUCUAUUAAUGAGUAAUUGAAUUAUCUUUGCAUCAGUAAUCAGUUGAAUGGACCGUGUCUGAAAAGUUGUACCUUUGGCUAGAGUCUUAUCUGUUGUUGAUUCAUUCAUAUCUAUCUUCAUGCGUUGUUUUAAUUUAGUUAAUUAGUUAUUUUUAUAAAAACCCCUCAUCUCUGGACUCUAAAAGAAAUAAAUUAUUUCUAGUUCCUGUGGAUUCGAUCCUACUCACCAUACAAUCCAACCUGCAAUUGUAUGAACCCCAAUCUCGCUUCCUAGUCCACCAUUUUUCUCUAGGUAAUAAUCUCCCUUCUAAUUUCUUCACAAAAUGCACCUUUCAUCACCUCCAAUAGCGUCGACAUGAUCUUUACCCCAGAAGACUAUUCACCGACUCUCAAUUGACGUUAGAAAAUCUAAGAGUAAUUCUACUUUACCCUAAGAUUGAUAUCAACAAGACAAGGACAAUUUAGAAUUAUUACACGCCUCUUCUUAAUAGGAAAAAGAAAUAGAGAAGAAAGUCAGGCCAGGUCUAAUUUCUUUUCAAAGGCAAUACAACAUUACGAAAUCAAGCAUUCAUUCAUACAAAUAUUUCAUAGUCACCGGUUUGCUGAGUAGAAAAAUUUAGACAAAAACUUAAUAUUAUAUUGUUUAAGAGUUAACAAUUUAGAGCUUAAUCUCCUUGUACUUUGGAGUUAACAAUUUAGAGCUUAAUCUCCUUGUACUUUGGACUAAACUUGAACGUGAAAGGAAAUCCCAAAACCAUAUUGGGCAUGAAUUCACACUUAAUAUACCCAAUAAAAGAUGGCGACUGGUGAAAGGCAGUGGAGACUGGUGGAGAGAUUUGAGGAAUAGAAGCAGACGGAAAAGCAACAAAUUUUUGCCGAAAAACGGUCACUUUCAUGGUUAAUUUUGCUACUCUCCAAUUGUACUUGACCAAUUACAACAAUUUCAUGGAGUUUGAUACGUGAAAAGAAUUUUUUAUAAAUUUUAUUUUGAUCCAUAAUGUUAUCUUUACAUAUAUAAAACAUUUUACAAUUUUGAUUUUGGCGCAGUUAACUUUUGGUAAACAAAAAUGCUCAUGUUUAAAAAACCGGAAAUAAAACAAAACAAGAAACAAAAGAAAUAAGAGGGUAGCAUAGACAUUUUGGAUUUUUCCGUUAAUUUGGAUGAUUUCCACCCACGUUCUAAUUUAAUCCAAAACACAAAGGAAUUACGUAGAGGUUUUAAAUAAUGAGGGAGCUUCAUGAUCGAACCCCAAACCACAAGGCGAUUUACUAUAUUUUACUCUUAAAUUUUGGUUUCAUCUCAUAGCAUACAAGAGUUCUAUUUCACUAUCUGUAGACAAAGACUUUCUAUGGUUGAUGUACCAUAGGAAAAAAUCUGCCUAUACAACGUGAUAGCAUUUUUUCAAAAACACAAGAUGGAAAAUUGCCCCCUUAAACGGGGAAAUUCAUGAUCUUUCCUCGAACAAAGAAUACUCACGCCUAUUCAAGAUGGAAAAUUGCCCCCUUAAACGUCUAUUUGUCAAUUCUUGAAAAAAGAAUACUCACGCCUAAAACACGGCCUCUUCAUCUGCAGAAUUCUAAAAAGUUAGGUAAACUCUAUAAACAAGUUGAUAGGUACAAUCGUACCCAAGAUCAAGUACAGAUAGUUGUACAUUCACUGCUGCAAUAACUAAUCUGAUGACUUACAAACAUAUCAUGGUCAAUCGUUGAAUGGUAAUGAGUCUUUUGUUAUGCAUUAGUAUUAGUGUGUACACUCUAAUAGAUUGAUACUUAUACUCUUUAAAUUAUCAUAAUAAUACCCUUAAUUAACUUUAACUCUUAAAAAGAAUACGUGUUAAUACACGAGAGUGUGUAACCUGAAUUGUUACUUAUACAUUAGUGUGUAAUAGAUAGGGAUGGCAAUGGGGGCGGGUGCCCGCAGGCAACCGCCCCGCGGGGGGCUCUCGGGGCGGGGAGGGGGGAAUUUUUUCCCCCCGUUUAGAAACGGGGCAGGGGACGGGGGAGUAUACCCCCGCCCCAUCCCCCGCAAAAAAAAUUAUAUAUAUAUAAUUAUAUAUAAUAUGUAAUUUAAUUAGUUAUAAACUUAUGAUAAUGAUAUUAUUAGUUAGAUGUAUUAUAUAAUGUAUAUUAGUGUAUGUAAUAUAAUUAAUAUUAUCAAUUAUACGAAUAAUUAGACAUGUCUACUAAUAGAAUUUAUUAAUUAGUUAUACUAAAUUUACUAAUACAUUUAUACUAAAUUUCUAAUUACAUUUAAUAGAAUAACACUUUUUUCUAAAAAAAAAAGCACAAACACAAUAAUGAAUUAGUGAUUGUAUUUUUACCAAAAAUGAAAACUUAACUAUUUUAGUUGCAUUUAUUUCAUCAUGUUGGAUUGUAUUCAAAUAAUUUUUGUUUGAUUGUUUUUAUGAGUUUCAAUUGUAAAAUUAAAAUGAAUAAUAACUUGAUGAAUAAUAAUGUCAAUCGUUGAAUGGUGUGUACACUCUAAUAUUAUGCAUUAGUAUUAGUGUGUACACUCUAAUAGAUUGAUACUUAUACUCUUUAAAUUAUCAUAAUAAUACCCUUAAUUAACUUUAACUCUUAAAAAGAAUACGUGUUAAUAACUCUUAACCUGAAUUGUUACUUAUACAUUAGUGUGAAAUAGAACGGCAAGCAUUGAGCAACUUAUAGGAGAAAUAGUCCUAUAAGCUGUUGGAUGACUAAUAUAGCUCUAGCUGUAAUGUUUUAAUUAAAUUACAUCACUAACGUUGGGAUGACUAAUGGUUUAAAAAUAAUUGAGUAAUUGGAAAAAAAAAAAGAGACUAAUUUUCAUUGAAACCCACCGACAAACUAAACGUGUCCAUGGCUUUUGAAUAGUGCAUUCAACGUUUAAUUGUAUAGUCCAGUUCAUUGCAGAUUACAUGGAGUAAAGAUUGUGCUCUUUCCUUUUUCACCCCUUUUGGAAUCGAUACUGUGGAGAAUUGGGUUUUUCCCUUCUUUUUUUCUUUUCUUUCUUUCUGUGCUUUGCAAAACAUAGGUAAAAUUAUGAAAUCCGAAGCAUUCUUUAAUUGGGAUUAAGUAUUGUUCUUGAAAUUAAAAAGAAGAAAGAAAGAACAACAAAAUUCCCUGAUUGGUUGCAUCGUGCUUCCAUAGAAGCUCUCUUAGUGUGAUACACUGCUUUCAAUCAGUUUAACAUGGAAAAAAGAAAGAGAUGAAAAGCAAAUUUGGUGGGGAUAAUUUCAGAAACCUCCCCUGAAGAUUUUGACUAUUCUACUGGUCUCCCUUCAGAUUUUAAAAAUUACACUAAUCUUCCUUGAAGUUAUAACAUUUAAAUUCAAUCAAUAAUUUAAAAAAUGAUAUUAUGAAAGAGAAAAUAAUAUGAUUUUAUCAUUGCCCCCCAUCUUACUACAUUAUUUAAUUAAUUUAAUAGCAACCCACACAUUAAAGAAAAAUAUAAAAUUUGUUAUUUAUCAUUAAAGAUCAAAUCGCUUAUAACAUCAAAUAAUAGUAUAUUAUUUAUAUUUUUCACUUAACAUAAUAUCCAAAUUACUCUUUUCAAUUACAUACUCAUUGUUAGACAAUCAACAACAAAUAACCAAAAAAUUUGCAACCAAAAUAUUACAAAAAAAAAUAAACUUUAACAUCAUAAAUAUUCUUAUCAACAUAUUAAAGUUAGUUACUGAAAUUUUUAUGGUGUUAAACUUCACUCUUUGUAAUAUUUUGGUUACAGAUUUUUUUUGAUUAUUUUUUAUUAAUUAUGUUUGAUGAUGGGUUUGUAAUUGAAAAGAAUAAUUUAAAACUUACAUUAAGUGAAAUAUAUAGAGUGAUAUACUAUUUUUUAUAACAUAUGUGAUUCAAUCCUUCUUGAUAGGAUUGGUAAUAGAGGUAGAGGGGGGAGUCGGCUGCAUCCGGUCUUCUUUUCAUAGAUAGUACAAUAUUGCGAAAUCAAUCGCAUUCACACAAUAAUAUUUCGAAGUCAAUGCAUGGCUAAGUUGCAUAAAAGUACGAACACUUGUUAUUAUAUAGCUUAAGAUUCAAAACUUUAGAGCAUAACCCUCCACCUAACACAAUUGAAUAAUGAAUAUUCACGUUUGUCAAAUCUGUCAAAGCACAGUUUGAGGACAACCCAUUCCAACCUGCAAAAGAUUUUUUACUUUUCUAAAGUUGUUGAGAGCUGUAAAAAGACCUACCAUGCUUACAUCCUCCGAGCCUUGGGAGUUAAAAAUGAAGGCACUGAGUGCUAUAAAAAGGGGGCUAGAGGCUGCCUAGAAGCAUAUCAGCCUAAAACAAGAAUUUGUUGUUAUGAUGGGAAGCAAAGCAAAAGCAAUGGGGUCUGGGCUGACUCCUCUUCUUGCCACUGUUUUAGUGGUAUUUGUUGCUCUUGGCUUGCCCUCAGAAACAGCAGCUGAUGAUCACUACAAGUAUUCAUCUCCUCCUCCUCCUUACCACUAUCCCUCACCACCGCCUCCAGUGCAUUUACCUCCACCAGUGUACAAAUACAAGUCCCCACCACCACCUCAUCAUGUUUACAAGUACAAAUCUCCACCACCCCCACCACCACACCCAGUUUACAAGUAUAAGUCACCACCACCACCUCCUCAUCCGGUACCACACCCAGUUUACAAGUAUAAGUCACCACCACCACCUCCUCAUCCGGUAUACAAGUAUAAGUCUCCUCCGCCACCACCACACCCAGUUUACAAGUAUAAGUCACCACCACCACCUCCUCAUCCGGUACCACACCCAGUUUACAAGUAUAAGUCUCCUCCGCCAC
rnacentral:lncRNA from 1 species